rnacentral:lncRNA from 1 species
UCCGUUUGUGUUGUUUCUGAGGAGUGAGGAUUGAGAUUUGAAGAGGAGAAAAUGGGGAAGCGAAUGAGAAGAGAGAAGUCCAUUUGCUGCUACAACUCUCCUCUCGCUGAUUUCUCCUAGUACUUUCUCUCUGCAUUCUGCGAGUUUCGCUCGAAAAUCAGCUCGAAUUUCAUGAAAUUUUGAAUAUUUAGUUUGAAUUCUGCACAUUUAUCUGUAAAUCUAAACUCGAAUUUCCUGAAACUAUGAAUUUCAUAUAUAAUUUGAUAAAACUUCAUGCUAUUGUAAAACGGUUCCAGGCAAUGAAUAUUUAGUUUGAAUUCUGCAAUAUUUGAUGUAGAAAUCUAAGGAAACUAGAAGAAGUUGUCUCUCUCUACUCUCUUUCAAAAACUCUACGGAUUCCUCUUACAGAUCCAUGCGAAUUUCAUGAAAAUUUGAGCGGUCAUUUUAAACCUUGAUACAUCUAUCAAUCGAAUUCUCUUUCUCUAAUGUUUGCUUUAGAAAACAAUGGCACUGCAAAUAUGAUUUGAAAUUUGCUUGAGUUUUCAUGAAUAGGCAUAAUCAGAAAUAUGUAAACUAUUACCAGAAACUCUCUUUCUCUCUGUGAAAAAAAAAAAUUGGCUUUUGGACAUUUAUUAUCAUAACAGAUUUUACAGUAGGUCAGUACGAUUUUUUCCUUCCCAUUUUCUGUUUCGAAAAUAGUAAAUAGGGGAUUUAUUUCCUUAUGGUUGAUUGGGUAACUAAUUAGUCAAAAUUAGUUUUGGGAAACAAUAUGGAAUAAGAAAGAAGGUCUAAAUCAAUUGGGUAACUAGGUUUGUUGCCUACAAUUAAGGGUGGCAGAACACAAAGAGAAAAAUCAGGCAAGUGAGUUUGUGAUUUUGGGCUUGUAAUUUGGGGUUUACCUUGGGAAAAGUGUUCUGGUAUGUUUUUCGCCUUGUAUCAUUGACUGUGAAAUAGUGAAAUUGCUGCUACAAUCCCUAGAUGUAACUCAGUUUUGACUCUUCUGUGUUACGUGGGUAGUUUUGCAGCUGCAAGGAGUUUGUGCAUUGAAUUUUAAUAAGUUGGUUGAUUAUUUCUUUUUCAUAUUCCCACACUCUCCUUCACUUCAAGUUUGGUACAUUUAUGGAUAACUAUCUCUCACUUCCUGUGCAAUUUGAUGUGAAAGUGAAUAUAAUUUGAUGUUGUCUUGAACUGUUUUACAUUAUCAUAAUCAGAAGAAUGUGGAAGACUAGUGUUGAAUUUGAAUUCCCUACACUUAUCCAUUAAUCUUAAUACAGAGGUAGCAUUAGUUAAAGGUACUUGAAUCCUCACACAUUAGCAUAAUCAGAAGAAUUGUAGAACACCAGCAGCAGUUCUCUCUGCCUUGCUUGAGAACCCUAUGGAUUUCUCUGCCAAAUUGCUUGGAUUUUCAUGAAACCUUGAAUGUUUAUUUUGAAUGUUGUACAUUUCAAAUGGUAAAGUUUCUAAUAAUGAAAACAUUAUCUUUUUUCCUAAAAAAAAUUAUUUUCAGGGCCAUUGAAAGGAGUGGAUUUUUUUUUCUGAUUUGGAUCUCUAUACCUUUUACUGUUUUAAUUUUUAUAAAAAUUAAUAUUAUAUGAAUCCUAAAUUUAUCCUUCUCUCAUCCAAAUUCCUUGCAACAAAAUUGGUCAAAUGUUUCUUUUUUAUUUUGACCUUUUCUGUUUAUUGCUUUUAUAUUGCAUGCAAACAAGUAUGAAGAAGACAUAGGGACAGAGAUUGCAAAGCACUUGGAUGGUAAAUCUCUGGUGAUGUUGGGAACAACAAAUAAGUGGUUCCACUGUCUGAUCAUGGAGGACAGUAUGUGGAAGUUUGCUUGUCUGCGUGAUCUCCAGCUACUAGAACCAUGACACACAUUCCUCAAUCGGAUCAAGCUUUAUGCUUAUGCAUUUGGUAAUGAGCAGGGUGUUAAAUUUUCUCCAUAUUCAGUUAUGUUAUGGUUCUUAUAGUGAAUUAGUAUCAACAUCUGCUUAAUGGUUGUCCUACAAAUGGAAGUCACUCUUUCAUGUUCCGUCAACAGAAGAAACAUAUUGGUAAUUAUCCUUCCCUUUUUACUAUUAUCUAGAUUUUUUUGCCUUAGUUGCAAGAGAAACCAAUUAGUUCUCUUGGUUAAAGUAGCUACUUCCCUACUCUCUGGAGACUGUUUGAUUACUACUCAAAAAGAGCAUAUUUUAAAUAAUAAUGUUCAUAAGUUUCACAUCUUUUGAGUUGUAAUAAUGCCUAAAACACUCAAUUAACAUGUUGUUGCCCUUGCAAGAGUUACUAGCAAGUUUUAUGAAGUUUUGGAAUCAUUUUAAGAUAUGAUUUUGAUAAAUUGGUGACAAAAGAGAUAAAUCAAAUUGAAAUGAACAAAUAAAGUUGAUGAAGAUCCAAAUGCAUAAUGAUAGAAGUAAUGUAAUUGGUUUGAAUCGGGAUUUGGAGUUGAUUUGGAGGUGGUUGAGGUGGAUUCAAAGGAAAGAAAUGACAAAAAGGAGUUGAAAAAUAAAGUCAUGCAAAAUGGACCAAAAGGCAUUUAUACUGCAAACCAAAGGGAAAUCUCAAAGCUAAUUUUGCAUGACCAUGCGAAAAUUUUGCACAGUCAUGUGAAAUGCUCCAAGAAGGUGAAAAUUGGUGUUGAUGCAUUUUUUACUUUGCACAAUCAUGUGAAAUUGCUGGAUCUCGUGCGAAAUGGUCAUUUUAUUACUAAACUCUAGAUUUCUUGGUGAAAAAGCCUUCAGAAGACCUCUUAAAUGAUGCCAAGUAUCCACUUAACCUUGACCUAUAAAUAGAAACUUGAUUUUCUCAUUUAAAGGACUUUUAGCCAUUUCUAAUUGGAGAAUUUCCCAGAUUUUCUCUCUUUCUAUAGAAUUCUCUACUUUCUCUCAUUUUCUCACUAGCCAAAUAUGCCUUGUGAGACCAAAUCUCCAAGCAUGAGUGGCUAAAUCUCGUUUUUCUAGGAGGAGUGAGGAUCUAGAGGUAAGAUCUAUGGUGAAUUAGAGAAAUGAGCUUGAAUUGCAAAGGUAAUUUGAUCCAAGUGAUUAAUUAAUUGAAUUUUGGGGAUUUUUCUCUUCAAAUUGUCUUGGAUGAUUACUACAAUGCAAACUAGGUAGAUUCAUUAAAUUCUUAUAGUUAAAUUUGAUGAGAUUGAAUAGUUGCAUUGUGUGAAUCAUUGGAAAAUAAUUUAAGAUUAAUUGAAUAUAUGAUUUGAAUUGAUCUCUUGGAUUAAAUGACCUAAUUUGAACAGAAAUUAGAUCUAGAUCUAAAGCUAAAUAAAAAAAUUGCUUUAGAUGAAAAUUUAUAUUUUCAAUCUAACUUGAUGAAAAUUAGAUUUUAACAUCUAUUCACCAUGGAAAUUGUUUUCUAGAAAAUCCUAACUCCAAGAAUUUCAUUUUCUAUUAAUUUUCUUCUGUUUCACAUUUCAUUUUUCUUCUCAAUUUGAGACCAUUGUUAAAUUGAUUUUUUUUACCAUGAAUUUUCAAAUCAAUUUCACUUGAUUACAAUAAUUUCUUAUCCUCUCAUUCAAGCCUUAAUUACCAAGGAUAAUCCAUCCUAGUGGACGACGCCUAAAAACCACUAUACUACGGUAGUUUGUACUAAAACCAUUUUUGAUCGAGUACAAGCUACUCUAGAAUAGUGAAUUAGGUUAUAAAUUUUGUUUUGAUGCAAUAAAUGACGAAAAAUCAAGUGAUCACUGUUCUUAUGAACAAUUUUCAGUUAUUCAAUAAUAAUGCACAUUGUUUAGGGAGAAGGCUAAUUCAGUGCAGUUAAGGUGAGAAAUUGUUUGGAAAUCAUAAACAAUAAUUAUAUGCCAUUAAAGUAUUGUAAUUUUUCGUAUUGACUAGUCUUAAAAGAGUGAGAUGACUCAUUGUGCCACAUUAUGCCACUGCUUGUGCUUUAGCAGAGUAGGAAUGAUCAAUCUCAUGAGUCUCAAAAGAUAAGUUAGAUCAUUAUUUAGUUUUGGGUUCUGUCGUAGGGCAGGACUCAGGAAGCACUGAUUUUAAAUUUACCCUAUUUUUCAUCUACUCAGGGACAGACAAUUUGUAAAAAAAUUUCUUCUUAUCAUCAUUCUCACCAAAUAUCAUGAAAUGCAGUUUUUAAAAUAUGGAUUCAAAAUCUUAUCUCUAGAUUCAUAAUUUUUCAUGUAUUUUUUUUAAUGAAACCAAAUAGAUUGGAUGCGAAUCGAUGUUCUUUUAUUUUUCAUGCAUUCUUUCAUUACUCCUUUUAAGUAAACAAGUCUAAAGAAAAUAAAUAUUUUGAAUAUAUUUUAAGUAAAAAAAUUUAUUGUUCUUCAUUAUUGGAUUCCAAACGGAUAAUUAGAAUUAUUAAGGUAAUGUUUAAAUAUAUUUUUUAUUUUUAAAUAAAAUUAGUAAUAAAUGUCUUAUAUAAAAAGUAGCAAUUUAUAUGUUAUAUUGUUAAAAAUCUUUAAGUUGAUGAUGAAUUUGAAAAAGAUAAAAUUUUAAGUUAUCUUUUAGUUUGUGAUUUUAAGUAUUCACAAGGGUAUUUUUGGAAAUAAAAAGUGAAAAACACAAACAGCUUCUACGCUAUACUUUCAUUGCUAUGCGCGCAUUGCACCACUUUUUGCUUUGUCGUUCAAAGUUUGGAAAUUAAAGGUGAACUUGUUGGGUCCUGGGAAACCCACCAGCACUUUCCACCUCCAUAGCAUGGCACAACUCAAGGCUUCUUCGUUCUCUCAUCUUUUCUAUCAACUCCUCUCUUCUUUCUAUGAAUUCUUUUUGUCUCUGGUAAUUACAUGACGACCUUCAAGCUCUUUGGUACUGAGAUAUCGGUGUUGAAGGAAAGAGAAGACGAGAUACCACCAAUCCCAUCACCUCUCUCCCAAUUGCCUUGUCCAAUCUUGACUACUAUUGAAGGCAUGAAGGGGCGUGGAUUGGUUUCGGUGAUGAGAAAGACACUGACAACAUCCGAUGUGUUUGUGCAUCAGAGUCGGCUUUUCAUCACCAAGUGUAAGGUGUUGUGGAGCCAGUUAUUGGAGGAGAAGCAGAAGAAGGUGAGGGCAAAAGAGCACGUUGAAGUUGAGGUCGUGGAUCCCAAGGGGGGGGAGGACUGGGAUGAAGUUGAGGCUGUGGAAGAGUUUGAAGAUGCUUGUGUUGAAUUCCGGAUGGGUAAAGUGACAAAAGUUGUGGAAUAAAGGCUGAAAAUUUCUUAUUCUCCAGAAUGUGAAACACAUAUAACUUAUAUAGGAAGAGAGGUGGAUAUUUACAUAAAGAGUCCUACUCCCAGUUUAACUAAAAGGACAAACAUUCCUACUCCUAGUUUAACUAAAAAGAUAAACAUUAUAACUGAUAAACGUUUACAACAGAUGGACAUUAUCACUUAGUGGCUAAGUAUUAUAUUUUCUGUUACUCCCCCUCAAGUUGGUGCAUGAAGAUCUCGAACGCCCAACUUGCUUGAUAAGAAAAGAAAUUGUUGUCUUCCAAGUGCUUUGGUGAACAUGUCUGCUACUUGCAGCUUUGAAGGAAGAUAUGUUGUCACUAUCUCACCUGAUUGCACUUUCUCUCGAACAAAAUGACAGUUUAUUUCGAUGUGUUUGGUCCUCUCAUGGAAUACGGGAUUUGUUGCAAUGUGUAAAGCAGCCUUAUCAUCACAGUAUAAUUUCAUUGGCUUAUCAUGAAGCACCCCUAAUGAUGCAAGAAGUGAUUUUAGCCACGUUAACUCGCUUGCUGCCAUUGCCAUGGAACGGUACUUUGCUUCUACUGAAAAUCUUGAUAUAGUUCCUUGUUUUUUGCACUUCCACGAAAUUGGUGAUGUCCCAAGUUUAAUGCAACAUCCGCUAAUUGAUCAUCUUGUUAAUGGACAACUUGCCCAGUCCGAAUCUGAAUAAAAAUAAAGUUGAAGAUCAUUUUCUGCUUUCAAAACUAUUCCUUGACCUGGUCCUUUCUUCAUAUAUCGAACGACUCUAUAAGCUGCAUCUAGGUGUUCUUCCCGUGGGCUUUGCAUGAAUUGUGACAAAACAUGAACAACAUACGUCAGGUCUAGCCUUGUUACAGUCAAGUAUAUCAAUCGUCCCAUAAGUCGCAUGUACAUUCCUGGGUCAUUUAGCAAUCUCCCAUUAGCAAGUGCUAGUUUGUGGUUUUCUUCCAUUGGAAAUUCCACUAGUCUCGCUCUUAACAGCCCAUAUUCCUCUAUAAUGUUUAAAGCAUAUUUUCGUUGUGAUAAAAAUAAUCCAUCCUUGCCUCUUGCCACCUCGAUUCCAAGAAUGUAUUUCAAUUGUCCCAGAUUCUUGAUUUCAAAUUUUCUGUCAAGAAAGUUUUUGAAAGCUUCGCAUACUUUGUUGUCAUUCCCAGCCAAUAUUAAAUCAUCCACAUUAACCAAUAGGUUCAUCACUAUGUUUCCACGUCGAUAAGUAAAGAGUGAAUAAUCAGCCAAUGAUUGUUGAAAACCAUAUUAUUUCAAAGUUGUCGUGAGUUUCGCAAACUAUUGUCUCGAUGCCUGUUUCAAUCCAUACAACAAUUUUUGUAACUUGCAAACUUUGUUCUUUCCAGUGGCCUUGAACCCUUGUGACAACUUCAUAUACACUUCUUCUUCAAGGUCUCCAUGUAGAAAUGCGUUGUCCAUUUGGUGUAAUUCCCAUCUUUUCACCACUGCUACAGCUAGAAAGCACCUUACACUUGUCAUUUUUGCCACUGGAGCAAACGUCUCUUGAUAGUCUAUUCCUUCAAUCUGUGUAAAUCCCUGCGCCACUAACCUCGCUUUAUACCGCUCAAUUGAUCCAUCUACGUUGUAUUUUAUUUUGUAUAUCCACUUGCAUCCUAUUGCUUUCUUUUCUGGCGGUAUGUCAACUACUUUCCAUGUUUGAUUAGUCUCUAAUGCUUCAAUUUCCUUUGCCAUGGCUUCUCUCCAUCUGUUGUCUAUAACCACUUCUUUGUAAGUUCUUGGUUCCUUUUCAAUAUUUAUUGCUGCAAGAAAAGCUCGAUGGCCAACAUAAAAUUUUGUAUAAGUCACAUAAUUCGCAAUAGGAUAAGGCUCACCUGAGGGUACCUUUUGGAUUGAGCUUGCCUUGGAACAAAGUGUACUUAAGCUUCUAGCUGAAUAACAUAUAUAAUUUUGGAGAUGUCUCGGUUCUUUGUGUUGUCUAUGUCCCCUACCAAGCAUCUCCCCCUUGCUUUGAUCCUCUCAUGUCUCCAUAUUUUCUUUCCCUUUCUCCCUUUCACUAUUUUUUUCACUCUCUCUUUCACAUGUUUUCUUUACUAUGACAUCAUCAUCUUCAAUGUAAGAUUCUAUGUUCCCAUUGUUCUGGAAUUUUUGUUCUUUAUCUCCCUUGCUGCUUUGACAAAAAGGAAAAAUUGUUUCAUGAAAUAUUACAUCCCUACUCUCAAACUGUUCUUUGGUUUCUAGAUCGUGAAGUUUCCAUCAUUUCUUUCCAUAGGGAUAACCUACAAAUACGCAUCGUCGGCUUCUAGCAUCAAACUUAUCAUUAUUACGUGACUUUUUAUGGGCAUAACACAAACUACCAAAGACUCUCAAGUGCUCAUAAUUCGGUUUCUCGCCAAAUAAUAUUUCAUAAGGCGUCUUUCCAUCUAAUAUAGGUGUGAGGGUUCGAUUUAUCAAGUAUGCUACCGUUAAAACACAUUCUCCCCAAAAAUCUAUUGGUAGACAAGCUUGAAAUCGCAAUGUCCUAGCAAUAUUUAAUAUGUGUUGGUGUUUUCUCUCCACUCUCCCAUUUUGUUGUGGGGUGUUUACCAGGCUACUCUCCCUUAAUAUUCCUUCUCUCUUAUAAAAACUCAUCAUUUGUCCUGAGCAAAAUUCUAAUCCAUUAUCACCUCUGAUGCAUUUAACCGGUUUAUCAAAUUGCGUUUUGGUCAUAAAACAAAAAUUUUGUAAAAUAUCUUUGGUUUCGCUCUUUUCUUUCAUGAGAUAUAUCCACACCCCUCUACUAUGAUCAUCUACAAUGGUAAGAAAAUAAUGUGCCCCUGAAGUAGUGGGAGUUCGAUAUGGACCCCAUAUAUCUACAUGUAUGAGAUUAAAAACUUCAGAUGCUCUUUUAUUACUCAAUUGAAAAGAAUUUCGUACUUGUUUUCCACGACAACAUGAAUUACAAACAUAGUCCUCAAUUCCUUUCAUCACAUUAUUUCCUAAACUAUGAAUGAAAGCUAAAACACGAUCUGAAGGAUGCCCUAACCUCCUGUGCCACAAUUCAUACUUUUCUUCUACUUUCACUGCGUUCACCUUCUCUUCUUGUAAUGGCUUGUAGUAGUACACUCCAUUCCUCAACUCACCCACUCUAAUCGGAUUCCUCGAAGUGCGGUCCUGUAUCACACAAAACGAAUUAGUAAAUAUGACUGUAUAAACUUUUUCUUUUAAUAAUUGGCCUAUAGAGAUUAAAUUGCAUUUCAAGGUAGGGACGUAUAGAACAUUUUUUAAGCAUAAAUCUUUAGAGAGCUUCACAUAUCCCAUUUCAUUUGUUAUGGCUUUUGUUCCAUCAAGCAGUCCCACAUAUGCUGUCUCCCCUUUACGUAGUCAAUCGAACAAAUCUCUCAUUUCUGUCAUAUGCAUGGAUGUACCACUAUCCAAUAUCCAUUCUUCCAUAAUUUUAUUCUUAUCAGUCAGUUUUUCUGCAUUACUGCUUCCAUUUCUGAGUAGAGUCAUGAGUUUUUGGAAGUUGUCAUCAUUCAGUCCUGGGAUUAUACUAUGUUCCACAUCAUGUCCAACGCAUUGUCCUUUUUCUUGCGUAUAUGCUUCAGCAACUGCAUUUGCAUAAUGAACACGUCCUGAAGUUGCUCAUCUUCCAGCAUAACUGUUGCGGCCAUGUCCACGUCCCCUUCCUCAUUCCAUUUGGCAUGUUGGCCACCAGUCGGGAUAUCCUUUUAGUUGAAAGCAAUCUGCAACAUCAUGUCUCGUCUUUCCGCAAUGUGUACAGCUCCCACUUUUAUUUGUUUGUCCCUCAAGUUUCUCUGUCUUAGCUGCAAAAACUGUUAUUUUAGCACGAUCAGCUCCUCUGCCUAUGCUACGAUGGCGUUCUUCUUGUGUAACCAUUGCAUAUAUUUUUCCCAAAGUAGGUAAGGGAUCAAGGGCUAAGAUAGAUGAUCUCACGGUCCCGAAUGUAGUGUCAUCUAGACCCAUGAGAAACUGAUGUGCCUUCUCAUCUUCUCUGCUUUUCACUAUUGCUUGAGUUGUUCCACGAGUGCACUCAGGUAUCUCGAUGUAUUGAUUUAAUUCAUCUCACAUGCCUUUUAUUUUGGCAUAAUAUGCAGCAACUGUCAUUCAUUCUUGUUUCAAGUUCACGAUUUCACUUCUGAGUUGAUGAACCCUCAAAGCAUUUCCAACAACAUAUCUUUCUUUGAGAUCCUCCCACAUGUCUUUUGUAGUCUGCGCAUAGGCUACACUCAAAUGUAAACUCUUGUCGAUCACAUUAAACAUCCAUGAUAUAAUCAUCGAGUUACAUGCUUCCCAUGCAUUCAAUUCGUUUCCAUUUUCUCCUUUUGGUUUGUUUACUGUCCCAUCAAUGAUCUCAAGCUUGUUUUUCGCUCUCAAUGCAUUUCUAACAACCUUCUCCCACAUAUCAUAAUUUUCACCAUUGAACACACAUGUCGUGAUGGUUGCCCCUGGAUUAUCAAAUGGAUGUAGGUAAAGAGGUGAAGAUGGUUCUAUCAUCUUUGUGUGAGUCGAAGGUUUUUCUACCAUGAUACAUUUUCUUCAGGUAUCUGGCUCUGAUACCAUGACAAAAAUUGUGGAAUAAAGGCUGAAAAUUUCUUAUUUUCCAGAAUGUGAAACACAUACAACUUAUAUAGGAAGAGAGGUAGAUAUUUACAUAAAGAGUACUACUCCCAGUUUAACUAAAAGAAUAAAGAUUAUAACUGAUAAACGUUUACAACAGAUGGACAUUAUCACUUAGUGGCUAAGCAUUAUCUAUUCUGUUAUAAAUCUUGUGAAGGUUAACAAGCUGGAGGCGAAGGUGCAUUGUAUUGAGUUGUAGACUUUUAGGAUGAGUGACAAGUUGUUCUUCGCUUUGAAUGUCGAAAGACAACGACAAUACCAUCCAUGAUGAUGAUAUAUCAUUCAUUCUGAAGAAUCUAAAUCUAGCUAUAAUGGUAUAAGUGUGUUUGGUCCUUCAUAUUUGUGGAUUUUGGUUUGCUUAAUUUGCUUUGUAUCUUGAUUUGGAGUCGACCCUAUUGGUUUUUUUUUUUUCCUCCGAUUUCCUUUGAAAUAUGCAUGUGUGAGUGAAAUAUGCAAGAAUGACGACAAAGAUUGUAAGCUAUGGGCUUUAGUCAUGAUUUCCGGUUUUAUGUUAUAAAUAAUUAAAUAGAUGUUUGCUGUAACAUUAAUUGUAAGUCGAUCAUUCCCCAAGGCAGAUUUCCUUGUGGAUGAUGGAUUUUGUUACUUCAUUAUUAAUGUUCUUUUCAUGAUAUUCCUAAUCCUUAAAUUUCAACUAACGAACAUGUUGCUACAGCUGUUUAUUAUCAAUGAGCAACAACAGGGCCAAUAUCCAUUCAGUAGAAAGAAAAAAAAAAAUUGAAAAGUUGAAGUGCUCACACAUGCCGCCUUCUUGGUGGCACUCCCCCCUUGUGUGAGUGGAAGUGUGAACACCUUUCCAUGGGACUAUCACUGUUGUGGAGUAUACUCUCCAUGUAGAUUUUGCUUGUGAUAAUGAUCACUCUUGCCCUUUUAGCCAUGGAAAAUAAUAUCUUUCUCUCUUUCUCUCUUCUUCUUUUGGUCCUCUUGAUUGCGCUCCUCCUCAUUUUAGGUCGCUUGGCUUCUUGUUCUUUAGGAAGCUCCAUCUUCAUUUCUUCUUCUAUUUUAUUCGGCGACAUCUCCACUCCAAACUGUCUGAUGAUCUUCACUUAUUCUUCGUCGAGGCCUGACUCAAUCCGUAAGGGAUUGGUGUGGGAUGUGGAAAUAGAAAAUAUAUAUAUAUAUAUAUAUAUAUAUAUAUAUAUAUAUAUAUAUAUAUAUAUAUAUAUAUAUAUCUUUUGUCAAAGUUGCCUGCAACUUUCAAAGGUUUUUUUGUCCUUACUAAAUGUAGCCGAUGAAUUUUUAAGGGGAAAAGCCAAGAUGUUAGGACUAUGGGUCCAUGUCACGUGUGUUUGGUUUCGGCCUGAAGUUGUUUUCUUACACUACAAUAUACAGGUGCAGAUAUGGAAGACCGCAACUAAGUGUCACCAUAGAUGGCGCAGAUAAAUCUUAUAAUUGCGGCCUCAUACAAUUGUGCAAAUAUAAUGUUCAAGUUAUAGCUGGGCCAAUCUUUUUCCACCACCAAAUCGCUUAUAUAGCUGCUGCUCCUUGUAACCGCUACCAUAAGGCUGCUACAACAUUGCCAGAGUGCUCUAUGGCACAAACAAUUACUGAUUCUAAUGCCCUAUCAUGUUCAAAUUUUGCUCCUUGGAUCUAGAUUCCGAAGUGUUUGACCAUAUGACAAGUUUUUCUAAUCUUUUUUUUGACAUCCUUAUCAUUUCUUAUGAUGUCAAUAUCCACUUGGAAAGAAAAUAUACUAUCUAUGACAAGUGUAUUUCAAUCUCAUUUUUCUCCAUAUAUAAAUAGAUAAUUGAGAUCUUAUCAUUAUCAUCUACUUAUACCCUUUUAAGAGCUAAUUGUAAAAUAUAUACCUCUCCAAGGGCUAUUUGUUUAAACUAUAUCUCUUCAGGGGUUAUUUGUUUAAAUUGUACCUCUUCAAAGGUUGCUUGAAAAUGAUUAGUCCUUUUAUAUGCAACUUCUUCAAGAGUGUCACUUUUUUUUUAUAUAUUUCCUUGUGUUUUCCUCUUCCACGAAAUGUGUUUGCCUCUUCAAUGUCUACCACGUUUUAGGUGUGCCUUAAACUUAUUAUUUAAUUGUUUUUCAAGGAUAUCAACUCAUUAUUUAAUCGUCUUUUAGGAACAUCAAUUCAUAUUAGAAUAUUCUCAAUUAGUGAUAAUGAUUGUGUCACUUUCCUUGCAUCAAUGAAAGCAUUUGGUGGUUAAUUUGCAAGUCCUUGCAAACGAAUAAUCUUUUGAACUUCUAGUUCACAUUAAUUAGUAUAAGGAUCAAGAUGAGUCAAAGUCAAUGCAUUUCAAAUAAUUUCACGUCGUUAUUUUGGAAUUGGUUUUUCUCCCUUUAAAAGUGGGAAAAUUGUCUUAUUAAAAUGAUAAUCUGCAUAACAUGUCAUUAUACCUUUCAAGUGAAUAGGUAGACUAGUCACUAAAUAAAAACUUUUGGUUUUAUAAUGUAUGUUCAUACGACUUUACAAAGAAUUAAUGCAUUAUCUUUUACCUUAGGGGACAAAGUUGAUCUUACAAGAUUCUUCUGGAUCUAACAUAUUAUAAAGUGUCAUUCACAUGGAAUCAAAUACCAGUGACAUAGUAUAAGCUCUUCUAAAACUUUUAAUAAGGUUUCUAUCACUUGAUAGUUUUAACAUUGUUUGUCAUCAAUGUUGUGCAAUUAAUGAGUCAAGAGUUUCAUCAAAAUAAUAAGUUAUAAAACAUGUCAUAAAGACCUCACCUUUAUAGAGUUAAAGAAAUAUUAUCAUAAAGGAAGAGUUAAAAUUAACAAGAAAAUAUUAAUCAUCGAUGAUGACUUAGCUUAAUAAGUUGUGUAAAAUCAAUUAGAGCAUAUAUAAGACAACAAAACAAAUAUGAAAAAGAUAAUUUAAGUCAUAUACUUUUUAAAUAUCUAAUAGAUUUAAUUUUAUAAGUGUGGAGCAAGUUACACAUGAAAUAACUAAGAAGUAUUUCAAUAGUCAAACUAAUUGUAAUGAUUGAUCAAUAAUUUUAUUCAAAUAUUAUUAUGAUUUAAAUCAAUGUGCAAAAUUUAAUUCAGAGGUCAAAUUUUCAAGUGAGCAUAUAAGGAUUUAAAGUAUCUUGCAAUUUUUCCAUGUCUCAAAACUUUAAUUGAUACACUAGAAAUCCAUCUAAAUAUAUAUAUAAAGAUAAAACAAAAUAUAUUAAAACCAAUAGUUGAACUUAUUGUAAUUUCAAAAUUAUUCUUGAAUAAUAAAAUUAUUGCAUUAAUAAAAAUAUGAAUGAUACAUUCAAAUCCAAAUCAUAGAAAAUUAAGGACUUCAAUAAUUAAACUCUUGAAAACAAAAACAAAAAUUCAUAUUUUAUAACUUCAGACUAUAAAAAUAUUUAAAAUUCUUAUACCUCUAAACUAUAGGUGAAACAACAAUGUUUAUAUUAUAAUACUUAUAAUAAUCUUUAUUUAUAUAUAACAUAUAUUUUGUUUCACAUAUACGACUUUAGGUCACAAAUUUUCUAUAUAUUAUAGUCAUGAAAGAUUAUUAAAUUAAUUAUUCCACUUAGGUCUUAGUUAUAAGAAAUUAUAUAAUAUUAAUUUUAUUUUAUUUUAUUUUUUAUAUAGCUUUUAGCUAUAAUAGCAUAUGAAAUGAAAAUCUCUAUAGUUUUCAUUUAUAGGAAAUACAUAUUUUCUUUCACAGGACUUCAAGAAUAAAUUUAUGAGAACUCCUAGUCAUAAUUUUAUUACGAUAAAAUGAAAAUUUUGCAUAAUAUCAAAUUAGAAAAUAUUCUUUGUAUAGCUUCUAGCUAUAAAAUUUCAUAAAAUUAUUAAUUGACAAUUUAGUUUGUAUAACUUCUAGCUAUACAAAAUUAAAAUGCCAAUAUUUUCAUGUUUCUAUUUGAAGUACAAAAAAAUAUGUCUUAUAUAGCUUCUGGCUAUGAAAACAUUUUUUGUAUGGUUUCUAUUAUACAUUCUAUUUUAUUGUACUAUAAAUUUAUAAAUUUAUACAUAACUUCAAGUUAUGAAAUAUUCAUUGUAUAGUUUUGGCUAUAAAAUUUUGUUUUGUAUAACUUUCGGCUACACAAUGUAAUUAAAAUAAAUUUAAAAGUUAAUAUCUUUCAUAACUUUAGGCUAUGUGUGGACCCCGCAUUUCGGCUCAUGCGUUUCCCACUUGAUGACGAGCUCGAUUUUUGUUUGAAAAAUUGAUUUUUAUUUAUUGUUUGAAAAUGACUUGGAGUCGCCACUUAUUUUUGUUUUAUUUUAAAAGGGCAAACAAAAUAAGAAAGAAAACCCUAAGUGCGACUCCUUAUUUUGAAAAAGGUGAUCUACGAAAAACCGGAUCGGCUUCGAGGGUCAGGUUACUUAUCGGGAAGGUACGGUAAAGACCGUAGCACCCCUUUAAGUCCCUAAAGUCGGGCCUCUACUAAUGAGAUGAAGCAAUUAUGACAUCUAAUAAGGAAAUCAAUGAAAACUCGAAUCAAUCAUGCACGUAUUGAGAAUUAAAACAAGUAUAAGGAGUGACCAUGAUGUGAGAAAAUACGUACCUGGGUGGCGAACCGAUAUGCGCUAUCAAGAGGGGGGUUAGUAAAUCAAUUUAUUGGAUGAAUAUAUACGUAUCACAAAGCAGAACAAAUCAAUCACGCCCAACAAUUAAAUCAAUCAAUCAAUUAGUCAAUUAUAAAAUCAUAUAUGUCGGGCCCCCACCAAAGCCCGUUUAUUUUUGCAUGAAUUAAUUCCGUAAAUUCCAUCACUCGGAAUUACAGAAUUUAAAUUCAUGUUUAUUUUAAAAUAUUUUAAAAUUAUGAAAAAUUCGAAGGUGGCUCGCCGAAAAGAAAAUGGCGGCCAAAUUUUAUUAAAAAUGGGAUUUUUGAUACCUAAGAAUUCUAAAGGAUGGCAAUUUUUAAGACUUGAAAGUAUUUUAAAACCAGAACUUGGAAAAUCAUUUAUAAAACGAGGUUUGAAAAAAUCAUUUUCAAGAUCAAAAUGGGAAAGUAGGGGAUGACAUGUGGCUUAAAAAGAAAAGUUGCAUGCCAAAGGUGGCCAUGCAACUAGAAGUAUGCAACUGUAGGCCCAGGGAAGAAUGAUUUUUGAAGUGGGCUUUAGUAGUAGGCUGAUUUGAAUAAUGAGACAUGGUUUGGAUCAAGAGGCUGGCCCACAUUGACCGCAUUUACCAGUGCUUUCACAGUCAAAUCGCCUUUAUUUGAGAAGGUUUCUUUCUUAAGAACUGAUUCGUUCCCACUUGGUGUAUCAGCUGAUUCAUUUCCAGCUGGUGCUCCUUGAUUGAGGUAGUAAUCAACAAAAUUUAUAACCUAUUAUACCAUGAACUAGGGUAGCAAAGACAAAGCUACUAUAGCAUAGUGGCUCUAGGAUCGUUCACUGGGAAGGGUUUUCAACUCACAACUGAUACCAAUUCAAAGCUGAGUUGGUGCCUUUUCAUUUCAAGGUUAGCUUUAAAAGAAACCAUAAAGAUGUUUGAGUGAAAAGGGUUUGGUCUUAAACUAACCAAAAAGAAAGUAAUGGAAAUUACUUAUGAAGAAAAACAUUCCUUGGAGGUUUAGGUUCAUAGGGGAGGUUCCUUAUGCAAAAACAGAGCUCUGGUCAUUUGGUUCAUUUCCUCGCAUUAGAGAAUUAACAUAUAGUCAAUUCUCUAACCGGUGUGGUAUAGCUGCUUCCCUUUAAUGGGUUAAAACACUAAAUCCCUCUCACUGAUGCAACUUGCAAUGGCUCGUGCCUCUCACCUAGCAUUUGUCAUUCAAGGUGAUCUUUAACCUUGGACUUCCCUUCUCAAGCUCGCAAGAGAUAACUAAUGGAUGUCUCCUUGGAGUCCAAAAGCUUACCAAGUGUUGGCAAUUCUAGAAAAUCCUACCUCCAAGUCACUUCCCAAAAGCUCGCAAGAGAUAAACAAGUGCAUCUCCAUGGACGGAGAUCACGUGCCUUACCAAGUGUUGGCUCAAGUGACUUGAAGGUGUUUUAAGUUAACUAAAAACAUAGAAAUCAUUAAAGAAUCACACUUUCUCUUCAUUAAUGACUGAAACCACAAAGCUACUAAUUCUUGCACUUGGAACCUUUCCCGGCAACCUUAACUCCAAGGAACUAAAAGUCUAGCCACUCAUUCUCUGAGGAAACUUCUUUAAAGCUUGUUUGGCUAGUAAGAAAACUAACGAGAAAACAAUUAUAUGAAGGAAAAACAGAGCAAGUGCUCUGUGAAAUAUAUUUCUUUCUUCCGUCGAUUACAUAAUAAAUAUAUUUGUAAAGAAAAUUACAAACUAUAUAUAUGAGGUUAUUCACCUUUUGUACUUACUUAAAGACUAAGGAAUCCUAUGAUAGGUGGGUUACAAGGAGACUUUGGGGAUUUAGACAACAAAUAUCUAAAGCAAAAUAUCUCAAAACGUCGGUCGGAAAUAUCAGGAAGCUUCAGGAGAACACCGCUGCACAGUAUACUGAGAGAAAAACUCUGUGGGUAAGCGUUAUCAGAAAGUCCGGAUAUGUCUAUCCGGAGAAGUUGAAACGUCCUCAUUUCCCAUCCGACUGUGAGAUAUCCGGAUGUAAAAUGUCGGCGCACGGAAUUCCGGAUGUGAAAUGUCCCACACCGCUAAGAUAUCCGGAUCAAUUCCAUCCAGAUUCCCCAAGCGGAAAGGCGGCGCAAUGCUAUCCGGACUCUCUCAGGGAGAAGCACACGGCACUCGUGAACAUCACACCCGGACAAUAGCAUAUCCUAUCCGGAUAUGUUGUCCGGAUGGAAAACAUUGACUAAAGCGAGCAAGCCUUGCUACAGCCUACGUUCCGCCGCUCUCCAAUGGUGUGUCCGGACGCCUUGUCCGGACAUCUUUGCCAAGGAUUCCAAAGAACUCUCCUCAAUAUCUUAUUGCUUUGGUGAUAAAAAAGCUAUCAAAACACCAAAACUUAACACAAUUUUAUUAGAAUUGAUUGCAAGGGUCCUUAAUAUGUUAAUUGGGUUAAAAGGUGAUAACUACUACUCAAAAGCAUUUAAAAGAGUUAAUUAUUGGCUAUCAAAUAGCACUUUUUGAGUAGUAAUCAAGAACGAACUCUUCUUCAUCUUCUUCCUCCUCUCCCCUGGGUUUCUUUAGCUGAAGCUGGCUGUAUCAUCUCCAUGAAGCUCUAGUUCUUUUGCCCAGAUGGCUGAGAGGAUGAGAGAGAGCCGAAGCUGCUACGAUGGUUGGAAAGGGAUUGAGAUGGCCGCUUCGAUGUCUAUUGCUCCAAUUUCACCACCGACUUUAUUCUAAUGAAUUUUUCUACUACAUUCUUCUUCCCUGCCUUUCCUUUCUUUACUGUAGUUUCUUCCCACAAGGUAAAGCCAUUUCCAUAUAUGAUCAAGUAUGUACUCAUCUAUAUUUGUAUCAAAUCCAGAAAAUUGGCGACUGCUCCCCGGAACAAAGUUUCCCAUUGUGUCCAUGGUGGUUGUCAUUGAAAUAGAUAAGGCUUGCCCUUGGUCUCCUGAUGCUGAACUGAUGGUAUGCUGAGCUGUAACCAUGUGAUUAGUACAUCCCGCCUCCAUCAGACCUUGUUUCAGUUGGAGGAAAUUGAAUUUCUCUAGCACAAACAGGUGACCUUUUCGGGACUUUGUAGGGAUAUCCAACUCAACUUCUGAAUUUCUAAGCAAACCAUGUAUUAAAGACCCACUCCAACAGCCAGUUGCCACAAUAACAGCUUUCUAAGCUAUCUCCUUGCCAUAGCUGCAAUCUUUGCCUUCAUGUCUAUGCCGUCAUUCAAAAUAUACAUCUCACCCUUAGCAUUAGGUUCAGACUUCAUUCUUCCCAUAUCUCUAGCAUUUGGUUCAGCCCAUUCUCUUGAAACUUUAGCCACAUAACUCAUGAAGUUCAUGGCUUCCUCUGCUAUCUCGUAUUCAACAUGGCAUGCACAACUAGCAAUUUAUGAAUUAAAAACAGAGAAAACAAAAGAAAACAAAAGAAAAACAAUUCUAAAAAAAAAUUAAGGUAAACUAAAAAUUUAAUAAAAGGUAUACUAAAAUAUGAACAAAGGAAAAUAAACAAAUAAAAAGAGUUAGUAAAAGGAAAAGAAAAGUCACCAAACUUGUGAUGAAGAUCACAAGUACUUUGGAAAGGUGAUAUCACUGUAAAGUGGCACCAUCCCCGGCAACGACGCCAUUUGAUUCGUUCCCAAUUGGUGUCUCAGCUGAUUCAUGUCCUCUCAAUGGUCCCUGACAGUGGUACCAUUUGAUUCGUGUCCAACUGGUGUCCCUUGAUUGUGGUCCUCAGAAAGGAGUAAUCAACAAAAUUUAUAACCUAUUACACCAUGUACUAGGAUAGCCUUAGCUAGCAUAGCAUAGUGGCUCUAGGGUCGUUCACUGGGAUGGGUUUUCACUCUACAAUUAAUAUUAAUUCAAAGCUGAAUUGGUGCCUUUUCAUUUCAAGGUUAGCUUUAAAAGAAAACAUAAAAAUGUUUGAAUGAAAAAGGUUUGGUUUUAAACUAACCAAAAAUAGUAACUGAUUUUACUUACAAAGAAAAUUGUUUCUUGGAGUUUAGAUCACUAGGCUCAGGUUCCUCAUACAAAAAGGAGAGUUUUGGUCACUUGUUUCUUUUCCUCGCAUUAGAGAAUUAACAUAUAGUUAAUUCUCUAACCGAUGUGGUACAAAUGAUUCCCCUUAAUGGGUUCAAACACUAAAUCCCUCUCACUGAUGCAUCUUGCAAUGGCUCAUGCCUCUCACCUAGCAUUUACCAUUCAAGGUGAUCUUUAACCUUGGAUUACCCGUCAAAAGCUUGCAAGAGAUAACUAAUGGAUGUCUCCUUAGAGUCCAAAAUCUUACCAAGUGUUGGCUAUUCUAGAAAAUCCUACAUUCAAACCACCUCCCAAAGGCUCGCAAGAGAUAAACUAGUGUAUCUCAAUGGACGGAGACCACUUACCUUAUCAAGUGUUGGCCCAGGUGAUUUAAAGGCGUUUUAAGUUAACUAAAAAGAUAAAAACCAUUAACGGGUCACACUUUCUCUUCAUUAAAAACUAAAAUAACAAAAAUUCCAAUUUAUGCAUGAGGAAACUUACCCGGCUUUCUUCACUCCAAGAGACGAAGAGCCUAGCCGCUCAUCCUCUGAGAAAACAUCCUCAGAGUUUGUUUGGCUAGAAAGAAAACUAACGAGAAAACAAAAAUAUGAAGGAAAACUAGAGCAAGUGCUCUGUAAAAUAUAUAUCUUCCUCCCGUCGGAUUACAUGAUGAUAUGAGAACAACCUCCCGACUCCUCUCUUAUAAAGAAAAUUACAACUAUAUAUAAGAGGUUAUUCACCCCCUUUGUUCUUGCUUAAAGACUAAGGAAUCCUAUGAUAGGUGGGUUACAAGGAGAGUUUGGGGAUUUAGACAUCAAAUAUCUAAAGCAAAAAAUCUCAAAAUGUCGGUCACACAUAUCGGGAAGCUUUAGGAGAACACCGCGGCAUUGUGCAAAAUGGCUGCGAAAUUUUUGCAGCAAAAGGACAACAUUUUCGCAGCUAAAGGCUGAUUUCAUAGUCGUGCACCAUUUUGCCUUCAACUUGGAGUGAUCUUCUUACAAUGGUUGUAACUCCUUCAUUUCAACUCCGAAUUGUGCACCGUUUAAAGCAUUGGAUUUUUGACUUCCUGAUCUUCGAAACAACAUAUAGAAUGCAUAAAUUGGACUUCAGUAAGUGCUCCAAAAGUGGCUGACAUGACUGUCAUCAAGAAUGCUUCAUGUUAGAUUUCUCUUUGCUUCCCCUCCUUGCAUUCCGGAUUUCCUUAUGGCAAAGGACUUUAAAGCUUUGGUUCUUCAUGUUUUUGAGCUUUCCAUUGCUUUGCCAUGGAUUCCAAAGAACUCUCCUCAAUCUUGGAUUGCUUUGGUGAUUAAAAAUCUAUCAAAACACCAAAACUUAACACAAUUUGAUUAGAAUUGAUUGCAAGGGUCCUUAACAUGCCAAUUGAGUUAAAAGGUAAUAACUACUACUCAAAAGUGUUUAAAAGAGUUAAUUACAAGCUAUUAAAUAGCACUUUUUGAGUAGUAAUCACUCCCCCCAACCGACAUAUUGAUCUAACUCUCAACAUCAUGCUAAUCAAAAAACAAUUUUCAAGUGGCAUAAUGAUCUAACUCUCACAUGGAACAUUAAAGAAAUAAAACUCAAACUUUAACAAGAGUUAUCAAAUAACUUGUCUAAUCACAAUUCUUAAAGAGAAGACAUUAUGCAAAUUUAAGCUUUAAAAGAGUUUCCACUCCCAAAGGGUCAAACCUUACUCUUCCACAAAAAUCUAAGUGUUACUUAUUAGUUUCCGAAUAUAGUAUGUUGAACUAAUCUCUCCCCCCAACCUAGUUCUUUUUCAAAGCUUAGUAAACUGAUCAACCUCCAAUAGGUUAAGAACGCACCUCUUUUUUCACAAUUUUUUUUCAUUGUAGGAGUACAAGGCUAAAGUUAUUCUUUUCUAAAUUUUCCAUGUAAUGGGGGUCCAUCAAUGACUCCCAACCAAUUAAGGUUUAGGGCAUCAAGCUUUAAGGAUCUUUCAACCACUAACUCCUCGGAUUUUACCCCGGACUUUUGAGAAUGAAUUUUUAAUACCUAAGCACCUAUAGUAUGUUAAACUCCACCUAUUCACCCUUGUAACGAGCAUUGAGGUCGGUGACUCCCAACCAAUGAAGGCUUAGGGCACUAGGUUUUAAAGAUUUUCACCAUAUACCCCUCAGACCUUGCUCGAGUUUCAAGGCAAGCAAACAUUUUUCUUUCUUUCUUUUUUUUUCAAAAGCUCAUUGGCCUUUUAUAAGGUGUCCCAACACUAUUAAAUGAAGUCAAAGGUACCAAGUCUAAAAUUUUCCUAAGUCAAGAGGGAAAUAGUUUUUCAUCUUAUAAUCGGAACCUAUUGUACACAGUGUGUGAAUGGCUUAAAGUGGAAGAACUGAGGUUGAUUUCAAUAGAAGUUUCAACAAUUCAUCAACUUUAGUAAGCAUAAUACAAACUCUAAGUCAAGUAAAAAGAGAAAAAUUCAAUUUCUCCCUUUUCAUUUUGAAAAUUUUUCCUUAAUAACCAUGGCGAGUAGAAUAAAAAACUUUAAAAAUUUUAAAAUUUAAGCAAAAAGCAACUAAAUUACCAAAAUAACUUAGCAUUAUUAAUAAUACUUACUUUCUCAACUCUCCCCCCAACCAAGCUGAACAUUGUCCUCAAUGUGACAAAAGCGAUUGAAAAAUAGGGAGGAAGUGGUACCUCCUGAGUGACAUGGAGUCUAAGUCAUAUAGGAGAAACCACAUGUUUCAAAAAAAAACAAAAGAGUUAGUGAGUAGAGGAAAUAGAAAAAUGCCAAGUUGAAACAAAAAAUGAUGUCUAUAUAUGAUGCAUCAUCAGUAAUACAUCCAAUCCCAGAAUAUAAGACAUCAAAACAUGGAAUUAUGUAUACUAAUAUGUAAAUACAAAAAAUGAAGAGAUGAUCAAGUAAUGGUAGAGUCCUGUGGAGCUGAUGCAUCUGUGGUGGCCUCUUGAGUGGGUUGGAUCAGGACUUUAGCCUCUGUUCUAGUAGUCUCCUUAGAUGGCAUAGUCUCCUUAGCUGGAGCUCUCAGUUAGAGCUAUGGGCUUUUGAUGGUUUUAGGAGGUAAGAAAUGGAAUGAGAGGCUUUGUGUGUGAUCUCAGUGAGAGGGCUCUCCUCUUUAGAUGCAUGGUUAUGUGGCUCUAUUGGCAUUUUUACAAAUUCCUUUGGCUUUGCUAGGUGUUUUUGCAAACCUCUCUUCAUUUUGGAAGUCAUUUUUAUAGCUUGGAGGUUAAUUCGUAGCUUAGAGAUCAUCUUGCAGUCAAAAGGAAAAAAGAAAAACAUUUUCCACAACCCAAGGGGAAUUUCACAGGGGGAAAGUGGAAUUUUGCAGCCCAUUUUGAUGCCAAAUGCCAUUUUGGCAGCCAAUGGAAAAAAUAGAAACAUUUUAGCAGCCCCUUUUGAAGCUUGGAAAUCAUUUCGUAGCCAUUUUGAAGCUUGGAGGCCAUUUUUGCUGUGGGAGGAGGAUUUCGUAGAGAAGGGGGAUUUUCGCAGCCUAUUUCAAAGUUUGGAAAUCAUUUUGCAUCCAUUUUGAAGCUUGGAGAUCAUUUUGUAGCCAUUUCGAAGCCAAAGGGGAAAAAAGAAACAUAAAAAAGAAGAUCGCAUCCCAUUUUUGAAGCUUGGAGAUCGUUUUCGCAGCGGGAAAAGGAUUUUGUAGAGGAGGGGAUUUUCGUAGCCCAUUUCGCAGCUGUGAAAUGGGCGUACGGCGCUGCGAAGUGGUACUCGUGUGCCAAAGGGUGGUUUCGCAGCUGCGAAACACCCUUCGAAAUGGGGGCUUGGCUGCGAAAUUCCCGCCCAACUUUGCGCGCUCAUCUUCAAACGGCCAUAUCUUUUUCGUUUCAACUCCAAAUCAUGUAUCGUUUGAAGUAUUAGACUUCUGACUUCCCAAGAUUCGAAUCGACAUAUGGUAUGCAUAAUUUGAGCUCCAUGAAGUGCUCCAAAAAUGUGUCCAACAGUAGCGAAAUGGGGUACGGCUGCAACAUUUCCGUUCAACUUUGCACAGUCAUCUUCAAAUGGCCAUAACUUCUUCAUUUCACCUUCAAAUCAAGCACCGUUUGAAGCUCUGGACUCCUGACUUCCCAAUAUUUGAAACAAGAUAUAGUAUACAUAAUUUGAGCUCCAGGAAGUGCUUCAAAAAUGUAUCCAACAGUAGCGAAAUGGGGUGCGGAUGCGACAUUUCAGCUCAUUGUUUGCACAGUCUUCAAACGGUCAUAACUUCUUUGUUUCAACUCCAAAUCAAGCACCGUUUGAAGCUAUGGACUCUUGACUUCUCAAUAUUUGAAGCGAGAUAUAGUAUGAAUAAUUUGAGCUCUAGGAAUUGCUUCAAAAAUGUGUCCAAUAGUAGCAAAAUGGGGGUGCGAAUGCGACAUUUCAGCUCAAUUUUGCACAGUCGUCUUCAAACGGUCAUAACUUCUUCAUUUCACGUCCAAAUCGAGCACCAUUUGAAGCUAUGGACUCCUGACUUCCCAAGAUUUUAAAUGAGAUAUGGUAUGCAUGAAAUGAACUUUGGGAAGUGAUUGAAAUAUGUCCAGCAGUUGCCUAAAUGGGGGUGCGGCUUCAUGGUGUGCGCGCUGAAGGAUUUUAAGGCAUGGAGGAUUUUGCAACCAUUUCGCAGCUGCGAAAUGAGUGUACAGGGCUACAAAAUGGCACUCGUGUGCCAAAGGGUGGUUUCGCAGCUGCGAAACACCUUUCCAAAUGGCUCAUCGACUGCGAAACGGAGGAUCUCAAGGCGUGGAAAGCUCGCAGCCAUUUCACAGCUGCGAAACGGGUGUACUUGGCUGUGAAAUGGCACUCGUGUGCCAAGGGGCCUCUUCACAGCUACAAAAAGUUUCGUAGAGGGCGCUUGGAGGCUGCGAAAUCAUUUCACAGCGAGGGCGCGAUUUUCGCAGCGGCUCACUUUUGCUGCGAAAUUUCGCAGCCCAUGCUUUCUCCUUACUUUUUGAGCUCCUCUUGAUUCCCAACUUCCUUCUUUCACCUUUUUUGACAUUCCUCUUGAUAUUGAUCAUCCAAAAACCUAUAUUACAUCAAAACAAAUGAGAAUUAAAGCAUUGAAAUCAAAAUUAAAUCAUUGAAAUCAAAAUUAAAACAAGUAAUAAGCAAAACAAAAAGAUAUGGACUAGCUAGUCUUUAGAAAGACUAAGUCCAUCAAAAAAUUUGAUCCUGAUUUAGCUUGCCCGGAUCUCAUAUGAAGUUUGCAUCCCUCACUUGAGACUUGCUUUGUAUGAUUUUCCCAUACAAAGCUUGGAUGAAAGGUGGAGGCAUGUGUUUCAUCAUUUCUUCCUUGAUGACUACCCUUUGUGGUUCUCCUUCUAUAUUAACAUCAUAGCCAUCUUUCUCUAUGCUUUUCCCCUUUCUCUUUCCUUUGAUUUCCUCCCUCUUUUCUUUAUCUGUUUCACUCUCUUCCUUAUGCUCUAGCUUGGAUGUGGGCAAAUCAACCUCUUUAUCUCCCUCCUUAGCCUCCAUUUCAUGGAUACCCUUUUGAUUUUGAUGAGGUUGAGAAGGAGAGUUUUCUUUCUCUUGCACUGUGUUGAGGUUGGCAAACCUUGAGAUAGAAUAUUGGAGAGUAUCUAUCUUCUGAGAUAGAUCAUUUUGCACUUCAUCCAUCUUUUUGUUCAAUGAACUCUCUACACUGUCAAUUCUUUGACUGAUAUGAGCAUUGAUGGAUUUCUGAGCUCCAACAAAGUCUCCCAUAACCUUGCUAAGAUUCACCAUAGCUUAAUCAAGGUUUGAGGCUUGCGGAAGUGCUUGAGCGGGUUGCUUAUGCUGAGGUGGCUGUGGUUUCCAAGAGAAAUUUGGAUGGUCUCUCCAAUUGGAAUUGUAGGUGUUGCAAUCACCAAACAUUUCCUCACGGCUGGAAUGGUAGGACACUCUUCCACCAAGUGCUCAUAAGAUAGACAAAUGGCACAAGGCAUAGCUUGCAAUGGUGUUUGAGAGAUGGCUUGCACUUCUUGCAUCUUCUUCAUUUCUAGCUCUUCCAAUCUCCUUGCCAUAGCUGCAAUCUUUGCAUUCAUGUCUAUGCCGUCAUUCAAAAUAUACAUCUCACCCUUAGCAUUAGGUUGAGACUUCAUUCUUCCCAUAUCUCUAGCAUUUGGUUCAUCCCAUCCUCUUGAAACUUCAGCCACAUAACUCAUGAAGUUCAUGGCUUCCUCUGCUAUCUCGUAUUCAACAUGGCAUGCACAACUAGCAAUUUGUGAAUUAAAAACAGAGAAAACAAAAGAAAAAAAAAGAAAAACAAUUCUAAAAAAAAAUUAAGGUAAACUAAAAACUUAAUAAAAGGUAUACUAAAAUAUGAACAAAGAAAAAUAAACAAAUAAAAAGAGUUAGUAAAAGGAAAAGAAAAGUCACCAAACUUGUGAUGAAGAUCACAAGUACUUUGGAAAGGUGAUAUCACUGUAAAGUGGCACCAUCCCCGGCAACGGCGCCAUUUGAUUCGUUCCCAAUUGGUGUCUCAGCUGAUUCAUGUCCUCUCAAUGGUCCCUGACAGUGGUACCAUUUGAUUCGUGUCCAGCUGGUGUCCCUUGAUUGUGGUCCUCAGAAGGGAGUAAUCAACAAAAUUUAUAACCUAUUACACCAUGUACUAGGAUAGCCUUAGCUAGCAUAGCAUAGUGGCUCUAGGGUCGUUCACUGGGAUGGGUUUUCACUCCACAAUUAAUAUUAAUUCAAAGCUGAAUUGGUGUCUUUUCAUUUCAAGGUUAGCUUUAAAAGAAAACAUAAAGAUGUUUGAAUGAAAAAGGUUUGGUUUUAAACUAACCAAAAAUAGUAACUGAUUUUACUUACAAAGAAAAGUGUUUCUUGGAGUUUAGAUCACUAGGCUCAGGUUCCUCAUACAAAAAGGAGAGUUUCGGUCACUUGUUUCUUUUCCUCGCAUUAGAGAAUUAACAUAUAGUUAAUUCUCUAACCGAUGUGGUACAAAUGUUUCCCCUUAAUGGGUUUAAACACUAAAUCCUUCUCACUGAUGCAUCUUGCAAUGGCUCAUGCCUCUUACCUAGCAUUUACCAUUCAAGGUGAUCUUUAACCUUGGAUUACCCGUCAAAAGCUUGCAAGAGAUAACUAAUGGAUGUCUCCUUAGAGUCUAAAAGCUUACCAAGUGUUGGCUAUUCUAGAAAAUCCUACCUUCAAACCACCUCCCAAAUGCUCGCAAGAGAUAAACUAGUGUAUCUCAAUGGAUGGAGACCACUUGCCUUAUCAAGUGUUGGCCCAGGUGAUUUAAAGGUGUUUUAAGUUAACUAAAAAGAUAAAAACCAUUAACGGGUCACACUAGCCGCUCAUCCUCUGAGAAAACAUCCUCAGAGUUUGUUUGGCUAGAAAGAAAACUAACGAGAAAACAAAAAUAUGAAGGAAAAACAUAGCAAAUGCUCUGUAAAAUAUAUAUCUUCCUCCCGUCGGAUUACAUGAUGAUAUGAGAACAAGCUCCCGACUCCUCUCUUAUAAAGAAAAUUACAACUAUAUAUAAGAGGUUAUUCACCCCCUUUGUUCUUGCUAAAAGACUAAGGAAUCCUAUGAUAGGUGGGUUACAAGGAGAGUUUGGGGAUUUAUACAUCAAAUAUCUAAAGCAAAAAAUCUCAAAAUGUCGGUCGUACAUAUCGGGAAGCUUCAAGAGAACACCGUGGCACUGUGUAAAAUGGUUGCGAAAUUUUCGCAGCAAAAGGACAACAUUUUCGCAGCCAAAGGCUGAUUUCGCAGCCGUGCACCAUUCUGCCUUCAACUUGGAGUGAUCUUCUUGCAAUGGCUAUAACUCCUUCAUUUCAACUCCGAAUUGCGUACCAUCUGAAGCAUUGGAUUGUUGACUUCCUAAGCUUCAAAACGAAAUAUAGCAUGCAUAAAUUGGACUUCAAGAAGUACUCCAAAAGUGGCUGACAUGAUUGUCAUCAAGAAUGCUUCAUGUUAGAUUUCUCUUUGCUUCCCCUUCUUGCAUUCCGGAUUUGCUUAUGACAAAGGACUUUAAAGCUUUGGUUCUUCAUGUUUCUGAGCUUUCCAUUGCUUUUCCAUGGAUUCCAAAGAAGUCUCCUCAAUCUUGGAUUGCUUUGGUGAUCAAAAAGCUAUCAAAACAUCAAAACUUAACACAAUUUGAUUAGAAUUGAUUGCAAGGGUUCUUAACAUGCCAAUUGAGUUAAAAGGUAAUAACUACUACUCAAAAGUGUUUAAAAGAGUUAAUUACAAGCUAUCAAAUAGCACUUUUUGAGUAGUAAUCACUUGGAGAUAGACUACAACGAGGCAUUUGAAAAACUUGUGCGCUUCAAUGACAACCUCGGUAAAUGGGUUGCGGAAAACAAUCCGGAACAUUGGGCAAUGUCAAAGUUUCUAAAAAAACAAUGGGAUAAAAUGACAAGUAACAUUGUAGAUUCCUUCAAUGCGUGGUUAAGAGAUGAGCGUCACAAAACAAUUUAUACGUUAUUGUUAAUGCACAUGGAUAAGCUUGUAGCCAUGUUGGACACCCAUAUGCGUGGUACAGAAAAGUGGAAGAGCAUGGUUGGACCGAAAACUGAAAAGAAGCUAAUGUCAAAUAUCAUGAGGUCUGGUCCGAUUAGUGUGUUGCCAUAUUUGGGGGGGGGGGGGGACGUUUAAGGUGUUUAUCGGGGAGGUUUAUUUGGUUGUCGAUAUCAAUCAACGUACGUGUACUUGCAUGACAUGGCAAAUGUCCGGCUUGCCGUGUUCACACGUAUGUGCUGUCAUCCGCACACUCAGACACGACGUGUAUGACUAUAUUGACCCAUGUUUUAAUGUCUCCAUCCAACAUUUGAUUUACUCUGGUCAGUUUCAACCAUUUCCAACACACAAUAUGCUGAAAGUUUGUGAGGAUGGGAGUCUGCAAGAUUGCGCCGAUAACUUAUUUUUUGCUCUCCAACCCCCUCAUGUCAGACAUCCUCCAGGAAGGCCCCGCCAAAGACGCAUUGAGUCACAGUUUACUCAUAAGAGAGCAAUUCAUUGCUCUCGAUGCAAUGGCAUAGGUCACAACCGCUCUAAAUGUAAUAAUCCGUUGCCAUGACAUGUGGCUUGUAUGUGCUUGUACGAUUCUCAUACUUUGUAUCAACCCAUACAUUCUAUUGUAGGGUAUAUGGUACGGUAUUGUUGUUUUUCAUUCAUAUGUAUUGGCCUGGUUAUAGCCACGAUGCACUAUCUUGUUAUUUUCAUGAUUUAUAGUUGCUUUGUUUAACCUACUUAAUUAAAAGUGCAAUUUGAAUGUGGUUUCUUUUAAGUUGUUAUUUAAUUCCAUCAAUGUGUCUACAUUAUCAAGCAUUUGUGGUUCUACCUACUAAAAAAUGUCUUUCUAUUUGUCUUAAAUGAGAUAUACUUGUUUCACACGUUGUAAGCAUUGCAGUUAUUAUCUUGUAAUUUAUAUGAUCUGUUGGCAGUAGCAUAGUACUUCACUCACAUGUUUGCACCCAAACUGUUAGCGCUUUCCUCAAAUGGUUUUUUUUUAUUUUUUUUAUUUAUUUUUACCUUAUACAUCUGAAUAUGGUAUAGCCUUACGAAAUUUAUCCAACUGAUUAAUGGUACGAUAGUGAAAUGACCUUUCCCUUUAUUAUUAGUCUCUCCAGCUCAUCGAUAACUACUAUAGUACCCUUUGGAAGUUACCGAUUAUUCUAAGGUUCAAACCUCCAACAAUAAAUUCAUUCUUCAAUGGCCACUGUGGAGGUAUUGCAUUAUUUCUUCGUUAUUAUUUUUCAUUACUUAUUUUGGAUACUUGAUAUUUUAACCUACUUAACACAAUUACUUGUUAUGGGUCUUACAUAUUCAUUAUCAGAUAAACAUCGAGUUGUAAAUUAUUCAUCCACAUUAUUUUGUUUGUUAGUUCAUUCAAUUGUAUUUCUUUUUGCACCACGUUUAUGUAUUCAUAUUAUCUUUUUUAUUUUUAUGUUGAUUACUAAAAUGCAUGUGUAAGAUACUAAUUAUGUCCUUCACUUUUAAUGCAGCCCACAAGAUUGUUCACACGUUGUUCAUCUUCGAGAUUCUUAAAACUAUGCAACAGGCUGCCAGUUGAUAAAUUAGAAGUUGUUCGAGACCUUCAGUUUGGAGGUCUUCUCAACUUAAAUUGUAAGGAGAUACGCCAUAAUAUAUGUCUAUGGUUGAUCGACCAUUUUAACGUUGGCUUCAGAUGCAUAGACAUAUCAUCCAACAAAAGCUAUGAUCUGACUGCUACAAAUGUUGGCCUUGUAUUUGGCCUCCCGAAAAGUGGACGGAUUUUACAAAUUGCAUCAACCCCAUCUGAGCAUCCAUUCGGUACACUCAACACUUGUGAGGAGAGACUCCUCAACUUACCUGUCGGGGAGGAGUUCCGUAGAUGCUUCCUUUACUACGCAUGUACGACGAUAUUGGCGCCAAUGUCAAGGAUAGAUGGAUGCCGAAACUUAUGGCAUACCAUCCAUGAAGAUGGUUUUCGAAACGAUGUCAACUGGGGCCAAUUUGUUGUUGACCAGCUGGUUGAGGGUAUUAGACGAUUUAAACAACGGAAGAGUGUUUGGGUACAUGGUUGCAUCCUCUUCCUCCAGGUAUUGCCCUUCUUUUACAUUGAUAACUUGGUCACUUUUACAUUGUUCACAUCACUACCAUCAAGUAACGAAUCCACAUAUGUUUAUUUCCAUUGUGCAGUUCCACUACGUAAUUAAAUUCAAGAUUCCUUCAGUUCAUGUUCCCGUGACAGUGUCCCUUCUCUCUGCAUGGUCAGAUGAGUUGAUAAAUGAGCGCUUAGCUGCUAAGAUAAGUCAAUUUGGUAGUUUCGGACAUGGCAAGGUAGCCAUUUACUCUACAUUCAUUUUGUUAUGAAAUUUGAUGACAUCGAAAUUGAAUACCUUGAAGGUUUAUACGUUCUUAAUUUGCGUCAUGAAAUCAAUUGUAGGGGUUUGAUAAUUCGUCACCGCCUCGUACACAUGUGGAGUCUGAUAGUGGCCCAACAAGUAGUCAUGUACGGAUAUUGUUUGUUACUUUAUGAAUUAACUCUGUCUGAAUGCCAUUACAAUUAGGUUUACUGACUCAAUUGUUUUAAAUCAUUGGUUAUAAAUAUUUUCUUCAAUAUUUUUAUAGUAAUUUAUGUGCAAGCUAUUCAUUAACAUGUCACAGGAACUACUUGAACAAUACUAUGGAGCAGAACAUGCAAUAAAUCAAUAUCAAAAUGGCAUUCAGCACCAGCUAGGCGUCUUGCAUGGUCUAAUGCAUACAUUGGAUGGCCGAAAAGAACGAAGUCGACCUUCGCUUGCCGCUGGUGACUUAAGCUAUGCAGCCCAUGAAUUUUCGGAGCCCGAACCGCAUUCAGACUAUGGCGGAGAUGACAUGGCAUCCCAUGGCACUACAGACGUACCUGACACACCAAUUCGGCAUCCAUCAGUUAUUGGUAACAGUAUGUGGGACAUUCAUUACUGCAUGAAUGUGUACAUAAUAACUCAUAUUAUAUUACUCUACAUUACGAAUUAAUUGUUGUUACUCCAAACUAAUAGCCGAUGAAAAAGUAGUCAUCCUUGAACAGUUGCCUUUGUGUUCUAUGGUUGUGGUUCCAUCUUAUAAGAGUGGGAGGCGACGAAGAGUGCAUCGGUUGGCUCCCAAUCUAUUGUCGCCAUUCAUAGCACAACCACAAACCCGUCAGUCUACCAUCAAGAUGGACCUCAAACAAGCAGCUGCAAUUGUUUUUUAUGGGGCCUUGGACCCGAGGUUUGACUUAGCAUAUAAUACUCCACUUUCAAAUGUAUUCACCUCCACAUAUUUGGUAUUACCCUAACGUUGAUGGUUUUUUUGACAGUGAGGAACUUGUUUCAAUGCAUGACACGAGUUUAAGCAGAGGCAACCUCGCCUCUUUCCAAGGAGACAGCUAGAUUGGCAAUCAUGUUAAUAUAUCAAUUUCUCCAUUACUUUGCAAUAUUUUUAAUUUAAUAUUCAUGUACCAUCUUGUCAUUAGUGGCUCUGAAUAUUGCUUACAUAUUAAUCACUUCUUGUCUUAGGUCGUGGAUACGUAUUGUAGAAUGUUGCAAUUCAACGAUGUAUCAAGGACCAAACUCUUUCUUUCGCCAUACAUAGCUGUAAUGGAGGGCUUUGAUGGACACUACAAUUCAAUGUUUUGUUGUUAUAACAUGUCAACAAGUUUCCUUACCCUUUAAAGCUUAAACUUUUUUCAUAUCAUAUGCAGAAAAUGGUCAUGCAUUCCAACGCCAAACAUUUGACGCACGAUGCAGUAAUUGGCCGUUUUGAGCCAUAUUUGUAUCCCUUAGAUGUUUCCUAUCAGAAUGUUAAUGAGGUUAGCUUAAAUGCAUUGUUCGAGGUUUCUACACUUGUCAUCUCCUUCACCCAAUAUAUGUUGUAAUCCAUUCUGAGUGGCAUCAUGCAGGUCUACUUACCGGUUCUUCUCAAAAACCAUUGGACGCUUUAUGUUUAUGACUUGCAUAACAAACGAAUCCAGCUCUUGGAUUCUCGACUAGGAAGGAGAAGGAGUUGUAUGAGUGGGAUACAACAAAAUUUGGUAAAGUAGUUAUUAGUUCCAUAAUAUUUUUUGCUUCCAUUGUACCUAAGAUGGGAAGUUUUAAUGCAUCUACAUUCUUUAUUUAAGGCCAAGGUUGUUCUAUGGCUUGUUGCCUACAAGAAACAAAUGGUGGAUGUAGACUUGAAGAUGUUCCGUUUUGUCAUGCCAGAUGUAUCAAGUCAACCAAAUGAGUUAGUGUUUACUUUGCAGUCUGUGACUAGAUUUAAAUUUUAUUGCAAGUCAAUUUAUGUAUAUUAUCGUUGCCAUGUCACGCCUAAUAAGUAAUUACCCGUUACGUUGUGUUUUAGCAAUGACUGCGGAGUAUUUGUUAUGAAAUUCAUGGACAAUUGGUUAAAUGGAGGACUCUCCAAAUCCAUCGAUGUGGUAUGUCCGUACACAAUUUUAAUAUACCAUGAUUAUAUCAAAGUUGCAUUCCAUGGCCAAAAUAUUUACCAUUUCCUAAUAUGCCUUUUAAACAUUAAUGAAUGCAGGGCAAGAUUAAGAAGUAUAGAUUGAAGAUAUUGGGGAGAUUGUUGCUUUCAUCACAUAAUGCACAUCGACAUCGCUUUCUCGUGGAUUGAGGGACACUAUUCAAUUGGCUGUGCCAAGGAUAUUUUCAAUUGAUUGUACAUUAUUUUGUGAAACCUAACUAUUUUCAAUGUAUUGCAUAUAGAAGUUAGUGAUGAAUGCAUAGCUAAGGUUAACAACAGUACGAUUCAUGUUUAAACCAAACAAGUUAAGCGUUGAAAAGCCUUUGGCUUCAAAAGUAUUCACAAAUGAAAUUGGGAUCGCUACUUCAAAUGUAUACAUUAUACAAAAUUGCGUCGGAAUAAGAGUCGUACUUUAAUUGGUCAUUGCAUGGAUCACACAUUGCUACUUCAGUUUACAUUUUUUACUUAAAUCACAUCUUAUUUCGCACACAUUUUUAUGGUAUAGGGAUCGUCGUCGGAGAUCGACCGGUUCUCGACCUAAUGCCCUUUUUAAACUUUAAGACCAAGAUCAGUCCCUAUCUACAAUAGAAAAGAAAAGAAAAGAAAAGGAAAAAAAAAACCAGGAUGUAAAGGGUCAUCUUAACUUAGGCUUCUUUUUGUCUUUUUUUUUUUUUUUUUGGUAGUCAGUACAAAUUGAAUCUUUUUCUCCUAUCAAAAACUUAAAAGAAUAUACUCAAGGGAGCUAAAAGAGAAAUAAAAAAAAAUGAAAAUAUUAUCUAGGGCCGAGAACAGUUUUCUCUUAUUUAAAAAUAGGAAAACACGUGUAAUGAUUAAAAACUGUUUUUUAUAAGUGCUUUUAGACAACAUCUUUUUUUAUGACUGUUUAAAAAAAUAAUUAUACAGAAUAUAUAAAAUGAUUAAAAAUAAAAUAUUAGAUAUAAAAACUAUUUUUAAAACAUAUUUAAAAAUAUUAAAAAUAAAUUUAAAAUAUUUUAAAAUUUCAAAUAAACUUUUAUUUUAUGAAAUAUUAGAUAAUAAUUCAAAAAGACUUUUAUUAAAAACUAUUUUCAAAAACUUUUACCAAAUAUACCCCUAAUUUCCAUUUUCAUAAAAUUGAAGAAUAAAGCUUAUUCUCAUCAAAAUUUGGAUUUACAUCAUGGGUUAUCUUUCAUUUUAUUUUUAUUUUUUUAUUUUUUUAUUCUUGUUUGCAUGAGACAAACACACUCCAUAUGGGUGUUUAUAUUCUAUGGUGAAAAAAGAGAGGAGAUAAAGGUGGGGUCAGUGUCUACCCUCAAAGUUGAAUAUCGAAUGUUCAAACAUUUCAGCUAUGCCUAGACCUUUUUGACUAAUAGUCCCUCUUGUUGGUUUGAUCUUCUUUCUCAAGACCCAUGGUAUCUUAAGCAGGAGUUGAUGGACUACUUCUCUUGAAAUUGAAUUUGUAAUACAUAUCUUAACUUCCCAGGUCGGCCAGUCGUUUUUGUGAUAGGCCUCACCAAGGAAGGAGUAUUAAUUAAUUAAUUAAAAAGAUAUUGGCAAGAUUUUCAACCGUUGGUAACACUUUCUUUCUCAAGACCCAUGGUAUCUUAAGCAGGAGUUGAUGGACUACUUCUCUUGAAAUUGAAUUUGUAAUACAUAUCUUAACUUCCCAGGUCGGCCAGUCGUUUUUGUGAUAGGCCUCACCAAGGAAGGAGUAUUAAUUAAUUAAUUAAAAAGAUAUUGGCAAGAUUUUCAACCGUCGGUAACACACUUUUUAAAAAAGAUCUUUUAAAAGGGCUUAUAAAAAAAUUGAGCUCAAGUCAUCAUUAGGAAGUCCUUAUUAUUAUUGGUCAAGGCUUCAACGAUUCAAGUCGAUAGAGCUUUUCAAACAUCAAAAGUAAUAUUUAAUGGUUAAAUAUAAUUUUUAAGAAUGUUCAAAUGAAAUUCUGAAUCAUGGAUCUUAUACUUCUAAAUGUAAUUUAUCGGGUUUUAAAGAAGUUUAGAAACCUAUGCUUCCUCUAUGAGGUGGGAGAAGCUUGUUUUUAUUUGAUUAAAAAUUUUUAAAAUAUCAUAAUUAUCUUUGUAUUUAACAAAAAUAUUUUAAAGAUAGUCUUUUAAAAGUAUAAAAUUUAAUCACGGCAAAGUACUAAUUAUUUGUAUUUCUACUUAUUUUAUUAUUAAAAAUUAAAUUUUAUCAGAGAUAAAAACGAGCUUAGAAGUCUAAAAUCAAAAUAUUAUUAAUAUGGUUUGAUAUGGCAUUAUGGUAAGUUUAUUCAAAGCUAUAUUGAUUCCGAAAUCAAAUGAUAAUUUAACAUAUUAUAUUCAUUGAAUUCAAAGUUAGAUGAUAACUAUCCAUAUGUUGUAUUUUAAAUUUUUUAUUAUCCGCUCAAUUAUUUUAUUUGUCACGGACCAAAAAUUAUUAACAUGAUGAAAACAUUAAGACAUGUCUCAUUGUCUUAUUUGUAACACUAAGUUUAACCUAACAAUAGUGUUUGACAUAUAUGAUUCUUGUUUGAUAAUUUUAAUCAAACUUUGUUAAACAAUGAAUAAAAUUUAUUUCCUAUCCCAUGAUAACAUGGGGUUUUGUCCUUUAUAUCACAUGGUCCUCGACCAAUUAAUUGGAAGCGAGGCCAUGUGAUUGAUUAGGGUUCAUUAAUCCGUAAGUAAGUUGAUUACUAAUCCUAAAGAAGGGAAACCCAUUUUUUUUAUGAUAUUGAUAAGAAGUUUUUUUUUUUUGAAUAAAUAAUUUUAAUUUAAAUAUGAAAAUUGUCUUUUAAGAAGAUAAUUUCAAAAUUCUAAUGAAAUUGUUUCUAUUUUUUUUUUUUAACCUUUAACGGAUUGCAAAUUUAAAAAAAAAAAUUGAAUUAUGAUAUUUUAAAAAUUAUUUUUAUUUUUAAAUUAGUGUAUAUUUUUUUAAAUGCUUGAAUUCCGCAUGUUUUACAGAGAGAAGAUGCCAUCGUCUUUAUUCUUCAGCACAGCAAUGUGAAUUCUACUUGUUCUAGAGAGAGAAGCUGUUGUUCUUCACUUUUUUCCACAGAGAAGCUCACGUCCUCUUACUUUAGAGGGAAAGCAAAAUCUGAGAUGGAUGCAGCUACACUCAAGAACCUAAAAUACCUCAACCGAAAGCCCUAUAAAAACCAGUCUCUCCGUCCGCUUGAACUCCACCACCAAUCAUGUCUUAUAGGAAGAUUUUAUGGGCUGCGAUUAUUAUAAUCUAACAUCUAUUUCUUUUUUUUUAUUUUACCAUCCAUAAAAUGAAGUUAGAAAAGAGUGCAUAAAAACAAUAAUAUUUUUUCUUUUUGACAAUCAAAUCUCCCAAAGAAAAAAGUGCAUAAAAAUAAUAAUAUUUUUUCUUUUUGACAGCCAAAUCUCAUAUUCUAACCAAUUUGAAACAUCUCAUAUUCUAACCAAUUUGAAACAUGAAGUUCCCAACUUUUAUCCUAUUGGACCUUUUCCCAAAAAAAAGAUGGUACGUAUUCACUUGUACGUCACUCGCCAACUCACUAACAAACUAUUUAUGAGGAAUUGAAAUUGUUUCCUUUUAUUCUUCACAAUCAAUUAAAUGAAAUUUAAAAAGAAAAUAAUUAAAGUUAAUUUAUUUUAUUAUCUUGUUUUUCUCACAGAUUUUUACGUAGAUGCUUAUUAAAAUUAAUUUAAUUAAAGCUAAAUCGUAAAAAUAAUAAUAUGUAAUACAUUCCUACAACAGCACAAAAGAUCCGGAAUAUCGCCCACGUUUGUUUUCUUCAGUGCUUGUACUCUAGUUUGAAUAUGUCGAUUCUAUUUCAAAUAGUCCACCAAGACUGCUAUGGGACCAGAAUGACAGAUUUCGGUACCACGACGUGGUACGAGAGAGAUCACGGUGACAGUUGACCAUGAACUGAUGUUUCUUCCAUCCAACUCCACACACUCUCUAUAUAAUCCGCCUAGGCCAGAAGAUGCCAGCCAUCAAACUCUUCAUUCCUCUAUUUGUUUCUGUCUUUUAUUCUUUUUCUUCUGGGGAGAUGAAGCUGUUUGGCGUGGAGAUGAUACCGCAUGAAAAAGGCAAGACAACAAAGAAGAGGAAGUCCAUAAGGCUAUUUGGAAAGGAUUUGGUGCCUCAGAGGAGAAAGAGCAGGAUAAAGAAAACCGGAAGCUCAUCAACUGCCUCCCCUCCAGAUUCGCUGCCUUUUGCAUUACUACAGACUGCUCAAGGCAUGGGGGGGGNNNNNNNNNNNNNNNNNNNNNNNNNNNNNNNNNNNNNNNNNNNNNNNNNNNNNNNNNNNNNNNNNNNNNNNNNNNNNNNNNNNNNNNNNNNNNNNNNNNNGGGGGGGGGGGCGUGAUUUUGUUUUCCUGACAAGAAAGAUAUUAGAAAGAUCCGACGUAGAUGUGCAUCUCAACCGCCUUUUCUUACCCAAGACUCUGGUGCUGUUAGGGGUGCUGUCGCCUGAGGAGAGGAGAGAGGUGGGAGGAGGAGGGGGUGUUGAAGUUGGGGUGGUUGAUAUGAGGGUGAAAGAUACAGUAUGAUGUUGAAGAAGUGGCCGAGUUUGGAUCAAAUUAUCUUUAAUCGUGGGUGAAGAAAGCUCGUCGAAAACAAUGGGUUGAGGGCAGAACUCGACACUAUCGAACUAUGGACUUUUCGGGCGGAUUUGAAGCUGUGUUUUGCUUUGAAUGUCAAGAGCGAGGGAGACCACCAUUAAUCAUUGAUCAUCUUUGAAGAUGAAGCUAAUAAUGAUGUUAAGUGCAGUUGUUUUAGUUACCUUGAUAUGGAGUUUUAAUUAUUGUUUUCUGUUAUUGUCGAGUCUCCUGUAGUUUGUUUUUUGCAUCUUUGUAGCAGUUGUGUUCGUGUUUGUUUUUGAAUUAUUGUUCAAUCGAUUUCAUGUGGCAUUUGAAUUCUUGUUUUUGUUCGUCUUUUUUUGUUUUUUUUUUAUUUUUUUUAUUUUGAUGUAGUUUGGAUGGUAUAAGAAAAAACGUCAAUAUAAACAUAUGACAACCUUAGCUUGAAUAAUCAAAUGCUAAUAUCAAUUUAUUUGAUCGGGAUUUAAUAUAUGAACUAUAUAUAUAUAUUUUUUAUUAUUUGUCAAGGCUCUCUAAUAUAUACAAGGGAAGACUUAUGCUUUGCCUAUUAAAUUCCCUAAAAAACCUGGAAAUCACACUACCCUUCAAACCCUUGUUCACUAAAAACCCAUCUUGACUUAAAUCGCCAAGUUAAACCAAUCCAACCUCAAGGUUCUUCGGUUUGUUCUUCAAUUUAUCCAAAUUUGCAGCACAAGAAAGCCAUGGAAGCAAGAUCUAACCUUGCUAGGGUUCUGCAUAGGAGCUGUUUCGAGGAUGACGAUGAUAAGCUUCAGUGGCUGAGUUGGAAUUUUUGUGGGUUAGAAGGUUUUAAUAUCAGCGUAUUGUUGUAUAAAUUUAGGGGGCCUCCAGAUUGGGAAUAGUGAAUAGUAGAACUCCUUCAUCUUUUGACCAUGGAAAAUAAUCUCUCUCCCUCUCUCUUCUUCUUCUUCUUGAAAUGAACUCCUUAACUCAGAAACAAACUAACACAAUGAUCUAAUUUCUUGGGAUAUUCAAACAGCCCAAAGAUGAAUUUGUCAUCCACAGCUAGCCUUUGAUGAUGGCAUGCUGAUAAGGAAAAUAAUGCUCCAUAGCUGUUAUCAAACACUGAUAAUAUACCCAUAUUACAAUGAAAGAUACAGAAGCUUGUGGCAUUCAUACAUGCUCACUUGCGCUGGCUGUUCUUGUCCCCGCCUGUUCUGGGACACAAAAGAACACGGCAGAAAAUCUGGUGGCCACCUAAAGCGAAUGCAAAGAGGCUAGUAAAAGGAGGGCCAAGGAAACCACGGGGCUAUGGAAGUGGAAGAAAGGAAACUUUUUUUAUUGAUAUCAAGGUGAGUUUGACAGGCUCACUGUUAGUAGCCAGUAAUACUAGACUAUAAUAGGUGGCUAUCACUAUCAGUUGGGCAUCCCAGCCUUUUUUUUUUCUUUUCUUUUUUUUAAUCACUAUCGAAAAUAGUAAGAGAAGAAAAAUAAGAGGGAGAGAAUCAAAAGAAGAAAAUUAGAGAGAGAACCAAAAGAAAAAGAAAAGAUCGUGCGUGUUGCUUGGGCUGACAUCUCCUGGAUGUCAAUAAUGAUUUAAAAAAAGAAAAGAAAAAAAGUCUAGGUAACAUCUUUGAGAGAAUUCACAUCCUCUUGUUGAGCAAGAGGAUGUCCCCCCAGUGUUCUGGGAUGAAAAAGGACCAAACAAAAAGCAAGAAUUUAGAGAGAAUGAAAAGUUUUUUGGCACGAGGCGUUGAGGCCAGACCAUAAAGCUUUGAUUAGAUAGUGUCAAGCGCGCUGACAGCGGCGUUACGUAUGCCGCAUCGGUUUUAUUUUUUUAUUUUUUUAUUAUUAUGAUAUUCGUUGAAGGCUUUUAGAGAUAUGAUGAUGUUGUUCGCUUGCUUGUUAGUUAGUAGGGGAAUGCCAUACCGGUCUGUCCUUUUGGGAAAAACUAGAAUAGGACAAAAGGUAUCCCCUAUUCUUCUGGGAUGAGAAAGGACCAAGCAAAAAGCAAGAAUUUAGAGAGAAUGAAAAGUUUUUUAGCACGAGGCGUUGACGCCGGCCGACAAACAGUGACUGUGUGGUGGGCCCGGGAGCUGGAUUCUCUUGUCUCGUGCUUUCUAUUAAUUCACAAUUUGCAUCCAUACUUCACAAUUGUGUGCAGUGUAGCUCAUGUGCUUAUUCUCUCGUCUCUUGCUUUCUAUCGAUUCCUUGUUCUCUCUGGUAAUUAAGAUGAGGACCUUCUAGCAACUUGGUACUAUUUUCAAUUUUAUACUACUUUGAUAUUAAAAAUAUGGUUUUUAAAAAUAUUUAAUAAAAUAUAUUAAUUUUUAACUAUUUUCAAAUAUAAAACAUUUUUUUAUGAUAUUAAUAAGAAGUUUUUUUUUGAAUAAAUAAUUUUAAUUUAAAUAUGAAAAUUGUCUUUUAAGAAGAUGAUUUCAAAAUCGUAACUAAUUUUUUUUAACCUUUAACGGAUUGCAAAUUUAAAAAUAUUUUUGAAUUAUGAUAUUUUAAAAAUUAUUAUUAUUUUUAAAUUAGUGUAUAUUUUUUGAGCUUGAAUUCCGCAUGUUUUACAGAGAGAAUAUGACAUCGUCUUUAUUUUCCAGCACAACAAUGUGAAUUCUACUUGUUCUAGAAGAGAGAAGCUGUUGUUUUUCACUUUUUUAGAUUAUUUUAGUAUCUAUUGAUCUCUUAAUUAAUUGUCACGUUUGUUUCACCUUAUUUAAUAGAAACUCGGUGCUUUCGGUAUUUUUUACCGUAUCUUCUUAAUAAGUAACUUGACUCUUGAGUCCAUACUCGAUUUUUCACAGACAUAUUUUUUUUCUUUAAUAUUUUUAUUUCUUAUUUUGUAUUUCUCUUAAAAAAUAAAAUAAAAGUAAGUGACAAUUUUAAGUCUUUUUCAAAAAAUCAUAUUUUUCACAAAAUAAAUAAAAAAGAGAAUUUGUCAUCGGGUCAGGAAUGCAUCGAGCAAAAUGCAGGAUCCACAAUUGGGUUUUGAAAUGUCUAUUAUUUUGGGAUUAACAGCUCAUAAUGUAUUUUCCCAUAAAUUUUUAAUUUUAUAAAAAAAUAAAAAUAUGGGCCUUAUUAUCUUCAACAAUUCUAAAACAGAAAUCAAUAACAAAUUUUUUUUAAAAGAGCUAAAAGUAUUUUCUUUUCCAUAUUAUAUUAAAAAAAUAUAAAGAGAAAAUGAUUGAUGUGUAUACUUUAUACUCUUUUUUUUUAUAACUAAUAUCAUGUAUCCAUUCAAGUCUCUCUUACUUUUAUUUUUUUGGUAAAUAUAUUUAUCUAAAAUUCUUUAAUUUUGCUUUACAUUUUUUUUUUUAUGUAAUUUAAUACGUGACCCCAUCGUCAAAAAUUAAAGCAAAAGAUAUUCAAAAUAUUUUAACAUAAUUAUAUAAUCUAGGAAUCUUUUAAGAGGUAGGAAGUCGGCAUUGACGUGCACUACGGGAGAUAAGGUCGCAUUCAUUCCCGACACACAUGAUGCAUAACGACGUAUACCUUUCUGCAGGCGUUUUCCUGACAGAACAAUCAUAAGGCUAACAUAAAAUCUCGUGUUUUCCUGUACACCUUUUGUCGCAUUCAUUCCCUACGUGAAAGUACUAUUAUUCCUAUCAAGCAAACAUCUCUUUCUACUAGUUUUAAAAAUUAUAAUUAUAUGCUUUAAAAUAAUAAAAAAAAUCUAUAUAUGGAAAGUUAAAAAUAUAUUAUUAUUAAAUAAAGAUAAAUUUAUCAUAAUAUAAAUAAAUUAAUAUCUUAAAAAUAUAAUAAAUUAAAUAUUUUAAAUUAAUAAAUUAUAUAAUUUUAUAUCUUAUUUAUAUAUCAUAUAAUUUUAUUAUUUUAAGAUUAUUGAUUUAAUGACUUUUAUUGUUAAAAUAUAUAUUUUUAAUUUUAAUAAUAAUUUUUAAUUUAAUAUAUUUAUUAAAAUGUCAUGGUUUUGACACUAUUUCCAAAUUUAUACUACUUUGAUAUUAAAAAUAUGGUUUUUAAAAAAUAUUUAAUAAAAUAUAUCAAUUUUUAACUAUUUUCAAAUAUAAAACAUUUUUUUAUGAUAUUAAUAAGAAGGUUUUUUUUUUGAAUAAAUAAUUUUAAUUUAAAUAUGAAAAUUGUCUUUUAAGAAAUAAUUUCAAAAUUCUAAUGAAAUUGUUUCUAAUUUUUUUUUUAACCUUUAACGGAUUGCAAAUUUUUAAAAAAAAUUUGAAUUAUGAUAUUUUAAAAAUUAUUUUUAUUUUAAAAUUAGUGUAUAUUUUUUGAAAUGCUUGAAUUCCGCAUGUUUUACAGAGAGAAGAUGCCAUCGUCUUUAUUCUUCAGCACAGCAAUGUGAAUUCUACUUGUUCUAGAGAGAGAAGCUGCUGUUCUUCACUUUUUUCCACAGAGAAGCUCACGUCCUCUAAAAUCUGAGAUGGAUGCAGCUCCACUCAAGACAAAAGUUAAUAACCUGUGCUUGUGUUGAAGUGGUGGACCCGAGAGGGAACAGGAAUGAGAUGAAGUUGAGGUUCUGGAAUGGCAAGAAUGGCAAGCCUGUGUUUGUGUUGAAUUCGGGCUGGCUCCAGCUUGUGAGGGAUAAUAACCUGGAAGCGGGGGUCGAUUGUAUGCUGUGGAGUUUUAGAAUGGGUUCGAAGCUGUGCUUUGCUUUGGAUGUCGAGAGACAAAACAAUCCGUGAGAUUAAUUUUGAAGAAUCCAGCUAUAAUGGUACAAGACUAUCUCCGUCAUAUGGCUUUCGGUUUGCUUAAUUUGCUUUGUAUUUUGAUGUGGACCUGUUGGGUUUUUUUUCUUCGGUUUCCUUUGAAAUAGGUAACGCGUGUGUGAUCGGCCUUAUCUAUCUUAUUUGUUCUAUUUUCUUCCAUUAAUUUCAUGUUUUAUGUUUUGUUUGUUUUUUUUAAAUUAAAAUGUAUGGGGGUACUCUUCUUCUGUCUCACCGAAUCUUUUAUUUUCUCCUCACAUGACUUCGCUUCACCUCACCCUUUUUUCUUAUUGAUUGAAGAUUGGACCAGGAUAUCAUGAUUCCCUGUACGGUGGAGACCAGGAUAUCACGAUUCUUUACAUCGAUAGAUUUGCCUCACCUCAGUACCUUACACAUUAUUUUAUUUUUUUGACAAAUAAAUAAAAAAUUAUCUACAUAAAAUCAUAUGGACCAAUGGGAGAUGAUUAAUCCACCCUCUGCCUUAUUAAUUUUAAUUUUAAUAGAAAAAAAUGUAAAUCCUAAAACAUCAAAUCUAAAAACUAUUAUAUUUCUAUAAAAUCUAUUAGAAAGAAGUCUAAAGAAGACAGGAUUAAAAAUUAUAUAAUUAUGUUAAAAUAUUUUGAAUAUCUUUUGCUUUAAUCUUUUAUGUACCAUGAGUUUACAGAUUAAAUUACAUAAAAAAAAUGUAAAACAAAUUAAAGUGGUCAGUAAUACUAGGCUACUAUCAGUUGGGCAUCCCAGCGUUUUUUUUUUUUUUUGUAUUUUUUUUUUGUUUUUGUAAAUCAAUAGCGGAAAUCUUAAGAGAAGAAAAAUAAGAGGUCAAUAAUGAUUUUUUUUUUUAAAAAAAAGUCUAGGUAACAUUUUCAAAUUCAGAGUUUUUGAUCAAAGUAAUCUAAUAAUUUUAAAAAUAUCUAGAAAUAUCUACCAAAGUAGUGCAAUCCUGUACUAUUAAGUUUCACUUCAUUAAUUUUUAUUUUAUUUUUCUUUUUAAAAUAACAAUUGAUUACUCUGGUUUUAAUUUUAAAUUUAAAACCACAAUCACCAAUUAUAAUUUAAAAAAAGUUGAAGUGGCAUAUUCAAAUUCAGAGUUUUUGAUCAAAGUAAUCUAAUUUUUUAAAAAUAUUCUAAAAAUAUUUAUCAAAGUAGUACAUUCCUAUAUCAUUAAAUUUCACUUUUUCAUUUUGUUAUUUUAAAAUCAUAGUUAGUAAUUGCAUCAAUGAUAAUUUUUCACAUUAAAAAAAAAAGUCAUAUGAAUGAUUACGUGACGGUAAAGACUAGAUUAAUAAAUAUUUUAGACAAAGAGUUAUUUUCAUUGCUUUUUUUUUCUUUAAAAACACUAUUUUGGCCCAAAAAAAGAGUAUCUUGUAAAAGUUGCUUGGUAACUCCCCAAGUUAUAUGUGAGGACAAAGAUUCAGAUAUUUACAAUGAAAGAAAAGUAUCCUCACAUUUUUUAAAAUUUUUUUACAUAAAAUAUGAAAUUAAUAGGAGAAAAUAGCACCAACAAUGGUCCAACGAAUUACAAUUAAUGUUAGGCUUGAUUCCACUCCACUAAAAAAAGGACAAACAACCAACUUUUUGUAUCAGAAAAUCAUCCUAUUCCACUCCCCUACAUAAUGUUUUCUAAACUUUUCUUAUCUAAGCAAGAGGGAAGGAAAAGACAAAAAGAAAAAGAACAAAAAAAGGGGGACAAACAACCAACCUUUUUUAUCAGAUCAAAAUCAUCCUAUUCCACUCCCCUACGUAAUGUUUUCCAAACUUUUCUUAUCUAAGUAAGGAGGAAGGAAAAGAGAAAAAGAAAAAGAAAAAGAAAAAGAAAAAGAAAAAGAAAAAAACAAAAGGGGGCCCCGGGACAAACAACCAGCCGUUUUUUAUCAGAACCAUCGUACUGCAUCAUCCAAAGUCCUACCAUCUUCAUCAUUAUUCUCACACGUUUCCAAGGAAGAGUAUCCCCACGUUUUAUUUAAAGAAAAAAAUGCAUAAAACAUAAAUAUAUCAGGGGCUCGAUCGAUUUCUGUCAAACUUUCAGCGUUCUCAAGCGUGCAUGCCGACAGAUGAAAGACCCUAGACGCCAAGUGAAGUCAUCCAAGAAAGGUUUGCUGGCAUCAAUCAACGUUACUCUUAUCUAAUAUGUUUGACUUUUUCAACGACAACUCUAAGGCCUCCAAACCAUACCAUUAUAAGGUACAGAAGAGAUUCUUGAUUGAAAGGGAUGGUAGUACUUCCUUGGACUUAAGAUCGUGUGUGCCACAUGCUAGAUAAGUUAUAGAAAGAUGAGUCACAUCCUCAAAGAUGGAAGAUGUGAUCUGUCUUGAUGUUGACAUCCCAUCUUUAUAAGUUAUAGAAAGAUGGGAUGUGUCCCAGAAUAUCUUUAAAUAGUAGAUUCUAUGUUACAUGUAUUUUUAUCUCUUAACUAAACAAUUUAUAGUUUGUCAUGACGUGCAAUCACCCAUAAUCAGUGCCACUGAAUGCCUGAUCCCACUCCCUCCUUCCAUGCUCUUGUAAUCUCUAUAUAUCACACAUGAGUGACAGGAAAAUAUAUAAGUUCAAUUCCUCAUAAAAAAAAAAAAGCCGUACUUGUCAGUAGUACCCUUCUUUCUUUUUUGGGAAAAGGUAGAAUAGGAUAAAAGUUUGCACCCCGUCUGUUCCGGGAUGAAAAAGGCACCACAAAAAUAUCUGAGCGCCUACAACCGAGAAACAUUGGCUGGUGUUGUGGGCCUGGGAGCUGGGGCCCAAAAAGGACCUCACGUGGCUGCAAUAAACUGAUCGGAACAAUCUUGCCCUCAGACAUUGUCCGUUUGAGGCCCAAGGGCCUCAAGAUUUUAAAAUUUCAUGUAAUUUAUCCAAAAAAAAAAUUGGGUUUGAUUUCUAUAUGUUUUCUGUCUUUUAUUAUCAAUAACAAGAAUGAGAUGUCUUAAAAUAACAUUUUUAGUUAUUUUUUAUUAUUAUUUUAAAAAGUAAUUACAUAUGUCAUUUUCAAUUAUCUUUUUAGAAUUAUUUAAAGGCCAAACCUUUAAAUUUUAUCUUUUGAUCCAAAAUUUGAAUAACAUAUUUAUUCGAAUCUGUCAAGUUCAGUCGAUGAAUCCACCCUCAGUGGGAUUUUCUCAAUCCAAAGUGGACUUUUGAGUCAAAUCGCCAAUAAUGUAAGGAGAAACGAUUUAUGAGAAAAUCAUGUAGUUUCCUUUUAGACUUAUAUUGGCACGUGCCAUUUUUGUGAAUUAGGGCAUUUCCUCCGCAUAAUCAUAAUUAGUUAAUACCUCAUAUACUGCUUUCCCUUCUCAAUGGAAAUAAAAGAUAGAAUAAAAAUAUGAAUACAUCAAUAAGAUAAGAAUUGCGACUACCCAAGGCUUGGUUUAGCGAAAGAUGGGAUUCGCUACUGAUUAAUCUCCCUACGCUAUUAUUUUAUUGAGAAUGUCUUCCUUUGGAUUCAUAAAUUGAACUUGAUAGGUUCGGACAAAUGUGUUAUUCAAAUUUUGGGUCAAAAAUAAAAUUUUAAGGUUUGACGUUUUAUAUUUAGGUAAAAUAUUGAAAAAUAAAACCUAAAUGAAUAGAUCAUGCUAAAGUAUUUGAAAUGCAUUAAGACUUCACACUUCCAAAAAUAAGUAGGUCUUAGAUUUUAAUAACAAUAGGAAAUAUUUUUAUUGUGUAAUAAUUAAAACAUUGACAGGGCUUUAAGAAGUCAUUGUUAUUUGUAGAGUUAUGUGAGGAAUUCAAUAUAAAUAUUUAUUAAAAUGUCACGAUUUUGAGACCAUUUUCAAAUUUAUACUACUUUGAUAUUAAAAAUAUGGUUUUUAAAAAUAUUUAAUAAAAUAUAUCAACUUUUAACUAUUUUCAAAUAUAAAAACAUUUUUUAUGAUAUUAAUAAGAAGUUUUUUUUUAAUAAAUAAUUUUAAUUUAAACAGGAAAAUUGUCCUUUGAGAAGAUAAUUUCAAAAUUCUAAUGAAAUUGUUUCUAUUUUUUUUAACCUUUAACGGAUUGCAAAUUUAAAAAUAUUUUUUAAUUAUGAUAUUUUAAAAAUUAUUAUUAUUUUUAAGUUAGUGUAUGAAAUCCUUGAAUUCCGCAUGUUUUACAGAGAGAAGAUGCCAUCGUCUUUAUUCUUCAGCACAGCAGUGUGAAUUCCACUUGUUCUAGAGAGAGAAGCUGCUGUUCUUCACUUUUUUCCACAAAGAAGCUCACGUCCUCUUGCUUUAGAGGGAAUGCAAAAUCUGAGAUGGAUGCAGCUACUCUCUUUGAAAAACUCUACGGAUUCCUCUUACAGAUCCAUGCGAAUUUCAUGAAAAUUUGAGCGGUCAUUUUAAGCCUUGAUACAUCUAUCAAUCGAACUCUCUUUCUCUAAUGUUUGCUUUAGAAAACAAUGGCACUGCAAAUAUGAUUUGAAAUUUGCUUGAGUUUUCAUGAAUAGGCAUAAUCAGAAAUAUGUAAACUAUUACCAGAAACUCUCUUUCUCUCUGUGAAAAAAAAAAAAAUCGUAACAGAUUUUACAGUAGGUCAGGACGAUUUUUUCCUUCCCAUUUUCUGUUUCGAAAAUAGUAAAUAGGGGAUUUAUUUCCUUAUGGUUGAUUGGGUAACUAAUUAGUCAAAAUUAGUUUUGGGAAACAAUAUGGAAUAAGAAACAAGGUCUAAAUCAAUUGGGUAACUAGGUUUGUUGCCUGCAAUUAAGGGUGGCAGAACACGAAGAGAAAAAUCAGGCAAGUGAGUUUGUGAUUUUGGGCUUG